ACCAAAGCCAUCUCUUUGAUUCACCCUCUAUAAUUGCAUGCUCUCCAUCAGCUAACAAAUUCAUCAUUCAAUCGGAUGCAAACUUUGGCAUGGGAUGGCCUGCCACUCAAAUUAUAGGCAACAAUUCCCUCCUUUUCCUUCGAGGAUCAUCACAUGCAAGGAUUAGAGGCUUAGUUGGGAAGGCUAUUAAUCAACCUGAUGCUCUCCGUAAGAUAGCCAUUAUGGUCGAGCCAAGAAUAGUUGCAGCCCUUCAGCAGUGGUCAAAAAAGGGGAGAAUUGUAGCAUUGCAAGAUGCAAAGAAGGUAGACUAAUAUGCGUAUAAAAAAUAUAGAUCUAAAUAAUAUUUUCUUGAUGUAAGUUGUCAUACUAAUUUCAACUUUCCUGAAAUCUCUCCCGGCCAUCAUUUUCCUUAUUUUUCAUUAUUUUUUCAUUGUCCUUGACAGUUACUUAUGAAAAUAUUGGGAAGUAGAUUUUCAUUAUUUUUUUUUUGGCAGAAAGAGAUUUAUCAAAAAGUAACUAAAGUUUGACAAAUAAGACACAGUUAACACAUGAGAAAUAAAGGAAAAUGUAAAAGCAAAGCUUAGAAAAUGUCUCAUUGAUAAGGAUCAUAAUUUUCCCUUUCCCCUUCUAUCCUUAGUCUUUAUGUCACUUAGGCUUCAAAGAAUAGUUGGACCUCCUUAGCCUUGCCAUCUUCAUCCCGAUCUUCAUCUCAGUUUGUUGAGCCGUAAUACAUAAUAUAUUGUAUGAGUUGAAUUAGUCCACCAAGGGUCCCAAGGCCAUUGGGAAUCACGAGCCAGGGAUCGAAUCUAAGGAAAGCAUAUGAAAACCAAACAGCACCAUUCACAAAAUUAGCAAGCGACGAUGAGAAUGGCAUGUAUCUCACAUUCUAUCUUAAUUACGCUGCACAUAACAGUCAAUGGUGAAAAGUACAUCCCAACAUUGAGGAUUGUGUGCAAGACGCUGACAAAUAAUGACCUAUUGCUACCAUCCGGAGCCCUUAAGGCGAUGAUGAUGACUAUGGCCAAAAUCACUUCUUCACCUGCAAGAAAAUGGAAGAUUUUUUUGUGUUUUUGCCAAUUGGAAUAGAUGAUGAACAAGGUGACAAAGAUGGCCUCAAUUAUAAGUCCAGCACCGUUGAUCGUUGAAACCAAAAUGCUAUCCUUCUUGACGAUUGGAAGGCCAUAGAACACCCACAUUGCACAAUUCAAUGUUGUGGCAAGGUAGGGGUCUGGCUUGAAAUGUUGAACAGACAUGGCUUUCCCUAUGUUUACGAAUGUGGGCGUCGGGGAGACAAACAUGCCAAAGGAUAUGACGUUUCCAAUUACUCCUAUGAUGGUCCUUGCAAGUUCCUUGUGAGCCAUCCCUGAAUUUGUUAAGAUGUUGUGAGUGGAAACUAAAAGAGUUAGAAGUCAACCAAUUAAAAUACCCAGAACUGCUUAUCAUGACGCCCUCCAGGUUAGCAAGCAUGAUGCAUUAAACCAAAAAAUAAUAAUAAUGAUGUAUGUAUUGCUAGUAUGGACCAAUUUUAAUUUGCUUCAUUCUUCUUGUGCUACUUAAAUAAAAAAAAUUAUUUAAGAUGACAUUUUACUUUAUACAAAAUUACAUAUAGUAUCAAAGUCUCUACUUUUUUGUAUAUAACAUUGUCAAAAUUUAAAUUUGCCCAAAAUGUUAGGUGUUCGAACUUAAAGAUCAUUGAUUGACAAAGGUAUAUGACUUUAGUGAAAACGGAGUAUAAAAAGAUUUUUUUGGGGGGAAACUAAGAAGGUUUUUGAUUAUGGAUGUUGAAAUCAUUAGAAGUGAACCUUGGUAAUAAAAACCUCACAAGGUUAAGUACGAUGAAUGAAAUAUUUUUUUAGGGACUAAUAUUAUUUUGCAUGCACAGACUUUAUACCAUUUCCCACUUUGUACCCCCAAAUAUAAUAUGCUACACAUUGCAUCCUUUAACCUUUUCUGAUGAGGCAACCUUAACUUUAACAUAUAUAUGUCCCAUUACGGACUUUAGUCCAAUGGCACUAACACUAUUGAAAGAUAAGGGAGAUGAAGCCUGUCAGCAGCAUAGUUCUUAAUCCUGUGAUGAUUCCUCCAUAUACUGAAAAUUCUUUAUCAGUUGAAAAUGUUAGUUUUUUUUCCUCAAGUAUAAAGUGCAAAAUAAGAUUUCAUGCAAAGUUUGAGGCAUAAAGUGGAACGAUGCUCUCUCUUAAACUAAAAUGGUAGCAUGGACCAGAUUCGACACCUGUUAGGAUUCACACUUCGUCGAUAUCAUUAGUAGUAGAUUUUAAAUUUUCUUUUCCCUUUCUUACUUUGAACAUGAACCCUAAGAGAAACAUAUCACCAGAGCCAUUUUAGUCAAAAAAAAAAAAAAGAAUAUCAACUGAGCCUCAAUGAAUUUGAAUUUAAUAAUAGCUCCAUUUAUGGAGAAUGCACAAAAAUAUAUCACAAUUUGGAAAACUAGUAUCUAAAAAAAGAGGAAGAAACAUGAAAAACAUGAAAUUAGAAGGCAGACAACCAAAAGCCUAGAGAACUACAUGGUAUUGUUGUAGAGGAAGAAUAAUAUUUCCAUAAACAUGUCAUUUUUUUAUAUAAAUUUCUAUUAUAGAUGUCACAUAGCAAAAUCUAAAGAACUAGAAUAAAUUCAGAGAACACAUCCAUAUCCUAGAAUGUUUCAUAGCUAUCAAAACUGAAUUAUCCAAGCACAAAGUGUAAAACCCAAAAAAUUUGAUAAAACAACUAUAGUAAAAAUAUAUUUCAUAAAAUCAAUGUAUAUCAGGUGGCAAAAUAUGUGUGCAAGAAGAGGAAUAAAUCAACAGUAUAAUAUUAAUUAUACGAUAAGCACGAGCUACACAUCCACAUUCUAGAAAGUUUCAUAUCUUUCAAAACUAAAUGAUCCAAGCACCAAGUGUAGAACCCAAAAUAUUUUAUCCAAAAACUAUAGAAGAUAAAUUUCAUAAAAUCAAUGUAUAUAAGGAGGCAAAAUAUGUGUGAGAAAAGAGGAAUAAGUCAACAAUAUACAAUCAAGGUAUAGUAAAACAAUUUGAUAAAAAUAUAUUUCAUAAAACAACUAUAGUAAAAAUAUUUCAUAGUAAAACAACUAUAGUAAAUUUGAUAAAACAACUACAGCAAAAAUAUAUGUCAUAAAAUCAAUGUAUAUCAAGUGGCAAAAUAUGUGUGCAAGAAGAGGAAUAAAUCAACAACAUAAUAUUAAUUAUACGAUAGGAACAAGCUACACAUCCACAUUCUAGAAAGUUUCAUAUCUUUCAAAACUAAAUGAUCCAAGCACCAAGUGUAGAACCCAAAAUAUUUUAUCCAAAAACUAUAGAAGAUAAAUUUCAUAAAAUCAAUGUAUAUAGGGAGGCAAAAUAUGUGUGAGAAAAGAGGAAUAAGUCAACAAUAUACCAUAGGUGUCGCGCCCUACUUUUUGAUAAUGGUGUGGAAGUAGUGUGUGAAAUAUGUAUGUGAACGUGUGCGAAAGUGAAAAUAAAGGCCGUGGGAUUGUGAAAUGCGACGGUUUGGCCAAAUAAAGUUCAAAAAGGGUUUUUGGAUGAAAAAUGGAGUCGCCACUUGGUAUGGAGUUAGGGUGUACCAAGUCACCCAAAAAUGAUUUUUUUUGUUUUGUUUUUGAAAGAAAAAGUAAGCAAACCCUUUUAAAGAACUUUUAGGUCUACGCAACCAAAGAGAGGGAUCGGGGGUCACAUUUGAUAAGGGAGAAGGCAAAGGCAACGCCUAAGGUACUCCCUUACCCUAGCCAAAGCUAGUUGCGUGACUUAGCCUCUACUUUUCCUAAUUUUUCUAUCCAAGGUACGUAUCGCAUGUUGGAUAUGACUAAUGGAUGCGAAAAGGAAAGAAAAAUGCAAUCCUAAACCUAAAAUGUUUCUCAUGAGACUUUUAGGUCCCAACCACAUGAAUUGUGGUGGCCAAUAAGGAUAGCUCUCAUGGAAGUCGUGAUUAAUGCAAGUGAGGACUCAAGUGCAAGUGUGCAAGUGUGAGAAAAUAAAGGUGCUUGUGUGUGCAAAUGAGUGAAAAUAGGAUAUUAGAUACGUAUAAGUGCAAUUUGAGUGCCAUUUGUGAGGUAGAAAAAUAAAUGAGAGAUAGGAAAAAGGUGAUGAGAAAAUGGAUUGAGAAAAAUCUAAGUAGUGAGAAAAUGUGGCUAAAAGAGUGAGGAGGUGAUAUAAAAAGAAUGCAAGUGUAUGACCCUAAGGGAAUGCAUCAGGUCGGGCACGGGAAGAACUCCUAACUUUACGACUUUGAUUUCCCUUGAAUUAGAAGGAAGAACUAGCGUGCUAAGGCUAUUUUGUAGCCAAACUCGCUCGUUUCCCUUAUCGAAAGGGGACUCUCAAGCAAAUGUACCCUAUAACUAGCAUGAAGAUGCAAAAAGCCUAAAAUGAGGGGAAAAAGAUUGGAGGAGCAUGCCAAAUGAUAAAAACUAAGAAAAAUGCAUGAAAUGUAGUGAACAUGCAAGUAUGCACUAACGAAAGGAGGACGGCCUAUUGGGUCUAGCGUUGGACUAGCCCUUUCUAUGAAUUCCUAACAGAAUAAUGAGCCACAACUAGCAUUGGACUAGUGUGGUGACGUACAUUCAUCCAUCACAUUCAUCUACGACUAUAGAAAGCAAGUAGACAUGCCAAACACUCAUAAACACAUAGCACAUAACACUUAGCAUGCUCGACUAGAUGCAAGAACCUAAUAAAGCAAGUAACACAUAUCAACAAAGGCAAAUAACCAAGCCAAUGAACCUAUUACAUUUGCUAACUAAAACAAAAGGGGAAGGCGAAGAAUGGACAAGAAUGCUUGCCAAGUCCUAUCUAUUACAAGCCAAGGGGUGUACACAUGCCCCAUUAAAAGAAUAACUUAAUAAAAACAAGAGUAAAUGAAAUAAAGGAACUAAAGAAAGGCAAGGAAAGCAAAUUAGACAUGCAAAUCUCACUUAGCACGUUGGAUCACAUAGGAGAGACAAAAAAGGAUAAAAGAAAUUAUACCUCCCCCUUUUGUGGUGCUAAUAAGGUGGACAACACUUAACUUGAGCUAUAGUCACCAAAGAAAAGGAUGACUUGGGCUAAAACCAUCAAAACAAAAGAUUAAUGCACCAAUUUAAUGGUAAAAUGUAAAUAAGACAAUCGGAAUCCAUCAAACAUCGAAUCCUUCCUCACUUGCAACUUAAAAAUAAUCAAGUAAUGAAUAAUUUCCAAGCAAAAGUGAAACCUUGAUCAAAUUUAUAAAAUAGCCAAAAGACUAAAAACUCAAUAGCAACCAUUAAUCAAUCAACCCAAAGCCAAUUGAAACGUUUUAAAAUCUUUAAAGGUCCAAGAGCAAGAAAAGGUCAAGUAACCAAUUUAUUUAGGGAAAUUAAAGAAAAUAGGAAAAACACAAGCUCAUUUAGACUCAAAGUUCACCAAUUCAUGCAUUAAAUACAACCUAACAAAACAUGGUAAUUAAUGAAAGCAAACAAACAAUCAAGUUGAAAAAUUGAAUCUAUCAAGGACUCAAUUGCGAACAUUAGCCAAGCACUCAAGCCUAAUUAAACAUUUUUUAAGAACUUCAAGGGUCCAAGGGCAAAGAAAAAGUCAAGUAAAGGUUAAAAUGCAACUACUUUAGGACCCGAUUGCAAGAAUUUAGAACAUUAUUGGGCCUUUAUAGAACAAAGGGGGACUUGAGGGGUCAAAGUGCAAUUUUAGAAAGUUAUUUCAUGCAAUCUUCAUGUAAAGACGUGAGAAGCAUUCUGCAACAAACAAAGAUGAAACUUGCAGCAUUUCCGUUUCCUUCUCAGAUUUCGGACUUAAAGAUACAGCUUGGCUCGAAGAUAGACCAAAAUCAUAGUUUGAAGCUAAACAAAACACACCACUUCAGCAUCCAAACAGGCAGCAAAAGACGCUCAUUUUCCUGAAAUUUUCGUGCAAAUGUAGCAAGGAAAACUACUGCAACAGAAAAGAAAGCUUGCUACAAUAUACCGAGCUUCUCAAAUAAAUGAAAUCAUAAUGCAACUAACAUACCAGCUGACCAAGCAAAGCCUUGACAUUAAACCCAAAGCAAAUACAAACUUCAACAAGCCAGUAACUUAGUCAUAAAAUCAUGCAAAAUCUGAAAAUGCAUGCAAAGAUUUGGAAACUUCAUUAUCCUUUGCUACAAAGUUUACGAAGCAUCUCACUUCCUCAUAGCUGACUUCUAUUUCCAGAAUUUUCGCAGCUUAUUGGCAACCAGAAAAACUUAAACAAGGCCCCAACAUCCAAGCUUCAAAGUACGUAAUACAACCCGUAACUUCGAUGUCCAGACAAACAAGAAAAACUUAGGACAGUAUCCUGAACAAUUCUGGAAAAACAUCUAUGCAAAAAUGGUUCGACAACUCGCUAUUCAAUCGUCUGCAAAUUUUUUUUUGUAAAGCUUGCGACAUGACAUUUGAUGCAGGAGUAAGUAAAUCAACUAUGAUUCGAACAUCAAACAUCCACAGCAACAUGCAAAUCAAACCCUUCACACAAUUCACAACACUCAACAAGCAAAAUGAAGUUUGCGGCAAUUUUUUUCAUUGCAGCUCUCAUGGUUUCUGGUGCAAUUUUUCUUUCCGAACAUUGCUAACGGCUCAACCAACGUCAUCUUAGGCCAAAGUAACAGAUCCAUCUAGCAUUAUUUCUGCUUUGACCACAAAAUUAACGUGAAAGUUAAGAGGAGACAGGCAUGCAAAAAUCUGAAAGAUGCCCGCAACUUCAAAAACCUUCCAAAACUUUCUUUCGGGUCAGUUCCAGCAAAAUUUUUCCAUCCCAGGUUCAGAAACAAAAAUGGAGUUGUAACGCAACUUCUAACGACACCCAAAUCUUAUUUACUCAAAGAUUACAUAUAAUCACAAGGAGACAUGGAGGAAAUUUCUGUAUGAAAACAGCAAGAAAGAUGCAAACAGCAAGAGCAAAUGAAGCAGUAUUUUGGCAUGCUUGCUACAUUUUCAGGAAUAGAUGAGGAAAAAAAAACAACAUGGGAUACCUUUCAACUGCUUUGGGCCUCAAAGGAACGUGGGAAAACUCAUGAAAAACAUGUUCCAUUGUUGGAAUCUGGCCAUCAAUCUUGCUGCAGAAAACUUCAAGAACCUGGCUUGAAUUUUUCAGAUCUCGCCAUGGGUCGUUGCUGAUGGGUGGAAGAAAACUCGACCUGCUUGCUUUUUCUUAAACGACGGCUAGAGACGGUGGAGAUGGCCGAAGUGGUGGUUUGCGGCUGCCGCAACAGCUGCGACGAGCAGUGACCGCCUCCAUCACCCUUCUCCGCUCUCUCUUUGUGAAUAUCCCUCUGCGUUCUGCUACUCAGUCCUCACGAAACCCUUCUUGCUUCUCCAGAAUUUCCAGCCAGCCUUCCCUCUCUAGCUCCCUCUUCAGCUGUCGCCAACCCCUCAGCUCUCUCUCUUGCUCUAGAUUUUUCCGUAUCUCUUCCAGAAAUUUUCCUUAUGCAGCCAUCCUCUUCUGUUUCAGCCGUCAGCCCUUCCUCAGAAUUUUUCUCUUAGCUGUUUUUGUUUGCCUUGUUUUUCCUCCUGAUUUUUCUUUUGCCGUUCCUCCACCCCUUCCCCCUCUCUUGCGGCUGCUGUUUUCUAUUUAUAUAGGACCUCAGCCCUAAACUCCCAGCCAUCUUUCCCAAAAUUGCAGCUAAAGGAGCUGCCCAAUCCUUCCUUGCAAACUGCGACAAUACGCAGCUUGCAAGUCGCGUAUAUUUUUUUUUUUUGAGAUUAAUUAAAACAAAAUUGAUAAUAAAAAUAAAUAACAAAAAUAACUUAAUUAACAUUGGAUAAAAAUAAAUAAACUAAAAACAACAAAGUGCAAAUUCCAUUUUCUUUUUUUUUUUAUUUUCCAUCAUCAUUUUUCCUCUUUCUCUUUUUUUUCCAAGAAAACAUUGAAAUUAAAUCACAAACAACUAAAUCAUAUUUUUGAAUGCUUUUCUUUUCUUUUUUUUUCUUUUUCGAGAAAUUCUAUGCUAAAAACUUACAAAUAAAAAUAAUAAAAUGAAAACUAAAAAACUAAAAACUAAAAAGUGAAUAAAACUUAACACGACAAAUAAAAAUUAAGACAAAAAUAGUAAAUGCAAAUUACACUAAAAUUUUGGUGUCUACAGUUUGCCCCUCUUUGUCUGAAUUUUGAAAAAACUUGAGACAAAAAAGUAGACACCAAAUACUCACCUAUGUUAUUUGGCGGCGAAAACGUCUCGAACAAUGGACGCUUUAGAAAUGGGGACUGACCCCUACACGAAAAUUAAAAACGGGACUGACCCGAAUAAGAAUUUAAAACGGGACUGGCCCGAACAGGAAUUUAAAACGGGACUGACGCGAACAGAAAUUUAAACGGGACUGACCCGAAUAGAAAUGUAAACGGGACAGACCCGAACAGGAAUUUAAAACGGGACUGACCUGAGCAGGAAUUUAAAAUGGGACUGACCCGAACAGAAAUUUAAACGGGACUGACCCGAACAGAAAUUUAAAACGGGACUGACCCGAAUAAAACGAAAAUCAUGGGACGCACGCUAGUGGGACUGACCCACGGCUAACGGCGGGGAAAAUGAAAUGCACACUAGUGGGACUGACCCACGGCUAGCGGCAAUGAAAAUGAAAUGUUCACUGACGGGAGUAACCUCACGCUCCAGUGGCUGUGAAAAUGAAAUGCUCACUGGCAGGACUAACCUCACGCUCCAGUGGCUGUGAAAAUGAAAUGUCUUAACAAUCGGACAGUGGGAUCAAACCCGAGCCUGCCGUAAUGAACUUGAUUUGAUUUUUGAUUUUUUGAUUUUUUGAUAUUUUGAUAUUUUGAUUUUUUUGUUUUUUUGAUUUUUUGAUUUUUUGAUUUUUUGAUUUUUCCUGACUGAGAGAGACUUGUCGAAAUAAUUUGCCCCAGUAUGAUGAAUUGAUCAGUGGGAUUAAACCCGAGCCUGCCUUGAGAAUCGGAAAUAGAAAGGCACGUUAGUGGGAUGAACCCAAUGCUAACGGAGAUAGACUAAAAAACAACACACACGUUAGUAAGAUAGACUCGAUGCUAACGGUGGUAGAAAUGAAAACGCACACGUUAGUGAGAUAGACUCGAUGCUAACGGUGGUAGGAUGAAACACACACGUUAGUGAGAUAGACUCGAUGCUAACGGUGGUAGAAUGAAAAACGCACGCGUUAGUGAGAUAGACUCGAUGCUAACGGUGGUAGGAAUGAAAACGCACGCGUUAGUGAGAUAGACUCGAUGCUAACGGUGGUAGGAUGACACGCACACGUUAGUGAGAUAGACUCGAUGCUAACGGUGGUAGCAUGAAAAACGCACACGUUAGUGAGAUAGACUCGAUGCUAACGGUGAUAGAAAUGAAAACGCACACGUUAGUGAGAUAGACUCGAUGCUAACGGUGGUUGAAAGAAAACGCACACGUUAGUGAGAUAGACUCGAUGCUAACGGUGGUGGAAGUUAGUGAAUUCAAUGUGGUUGUCAAGAAUAGGGAAAUGGAAGGGUGCGCGGCGGGCGCUGAGAUCAAAUUGAAAUUUGUCAAGGAACAAGAAAAUAAAUUCAUGUUUGAUUUUUUGAGAAUCUUUUCAACAGAUAAUUUGCCUCAGUUUCCACCAAUUAAUGUGCAACCGAUCAAUUGAUUUUCAUUACGGCAUGGUUGCUCCUCCUUGAGGCCUUGAUUCGCAAGAUUCUGACUUACGCUCAUUCGUCGAUUUCAGCCAUGGAUACCUGCACAGGGGGCUUGCCAAAGUAAACAUGCACUUAAAUUAUUCUAAAAAAUUAAUGCAACUACUACUCAUGGAAAGAGUAGCGUGAUUGAUUUGAAAGUCUUGCUUGAGUCUUUGACGAAAUCCUCAAAUGGACUAUAAAAAAUUUGCCCCAGUGUGGGCCUAUUCUCACGAAAUCUCAUAAACAAAAAUUUGUCCCAGUAUGGGCCAUUUAAUUGCAAAAAAAAACUUGUUUGGAUGACUUCUCAUUUAUUUGAACCAAGAGAAAUCGCACUUUCCAAAAUUUAGAAAGUAAUCAUAUAUACAACGUGAAGAAAUUUGAAUGUUGAAUUCAUGCAGAAAUUUCAUGAUGAAUCUCUCAGAAUAACACCAAAUUACAGAAGAUUUCCUCCUCACUUUUAGCAUCGGUGCUAAGGGUAACGGAUCACCAUUUCUUGUUGGCUCAUCUUUCAGGGCCAAUCGAGUGGGGCGUUAUUUCUGAUUUGGAAAUGGGAGGUCAAGAUUUGUCUUAUUCUUAUGCUCAAAUGGUAUGUAAUCCCUUCAAUACCACAUCUUAGUGAAAGCAAAGAGUUUGUCACCCUUAUUUCUUAAGAAAACUUAGUCAACGUAUAAGCUUUAUAGGCUUGCAACAAAAUGGGUAGAAGCGAUAGUUAAACCUGUGAAAACUAGUUAUACCCCCAUGAUCACAAAUGAUUGAUGGAUUUCUUACGAGCAUAAUCCUCACUUUGGAUUGUUAUGAAGGAAUAAGUCAACGAUGGACUUUAUUAGCUUGUAAUGUAGUUUGAAAACGAUAGUUAAAGAAAUAAUUUUCAAGGACAUUGCACCGAAGAUCGCAUUUUUCUCAAAAUUGCCCCUAUUUUGAACUCAAAGAUCUUAGACUUGGUUUGCAUUUUUCACAUCAUUCACCAGGGACUUCAGAGUCGAGUUUUCUGCAUUUUCUUGCAUUUACUUUUCUUGCUUUGCUUUUUGCCUCUUUUUCCUUUCCCUCAACUUGGUGGGUUUUCACAUGGUGAGUAGCGUCAACCCCCAUACUCAAGCAAUUCAGAAAUACAGCUAAAAUUUUCCGGCAUCAGAAAUUUUCUUGACAAGGCCAUUGCAAAGAACAGAAGUCAGGACUUUCAGCUUUUGUAAUGGGGUCUGGUGGGGUAUUUAGAAAAGUUAAGCUUUGAAGGCAGAUUUCAAGAGUGGUUUGAAGAAUCCGAGAUCGCAUUGUUGCGUCAACCCUAUUUUAGAGUUAAAUCAGAAUUUGUCCUAGUUUAUGCUCAAUUGAGGCUUUUUCUCUUUCAUUUUCUUUCGAUUUUUCGGCCUUCUGGCAUUUUUUGAACUUUCACAAAAUUUGUCCCAGUUUAUUUUUGAACUGAGGUUCUCUUUUCUCUUUUCUUUUGAUUUUGCGGCAUUAUUACUUUUUCACUUCUUGAAAUUUUUCCUUUUUCAACUCAAACUUGCCCCAGUGUGGGGUUUGCGAUUCUCAGGGGUUGCCAAAUGAAGUAUUUUAGUCUGAAGGCUCAAAAGGGAUAACUAGGGAUAGAAUGUUUGAUCGGAAAAGAAGAGGGCCUGACUUGUAUUCCGUUCCUUACAAUAACUCUGAAAGGAAACUUUCAUUAAUGGGAAAUUUUUGCAUGUACCUGAAUUAACUGACUGAGGAAGACCCUCGUUCAUCCAUAUAUGUGAAACAUAGGCGGUCCGUGCGGACAAAACUCUUCCUUUUCUUCUUUUUUUCUUUUCUUUUUCCUUUUUUCAAAAUUCCCCAAUCUCCUUCCCCAAUGUGGGGUACGAUCGUAAGUGCUUUGAAAAGAACCACCAAUUUUAGUUCAAAUGAGGAUGCAAGGGAUGAUCAGUGUUUAGGUUGUAGAAACGACGGCCAAAGUAUCAUUCUUACCCCUCAUGACAACCAAAGUAACGAAAUGGUCACUGAAAAUUCAUUCCCCUUUUUGAUAUUUGAAAAUUUUCCAAUAUAUGGUAGUGAUCAUUAGGGCUCUUAUUUGAAACGAAAUUAUUCUUUCAAAGGCUCAAAUGGGAGAGCAAAUGAUAAAAUAUGUAUAAGUAGAAAAACGAAUGCUCAAAGUAUCAUUCCAAAUUUUCAAAACAAACAAGAAUAAUGCACAUUUUUGCUUUCACUUAGAUGUGAAUUGAAUCUGGUUAAACCAAUGGGCAUUUUUCUAAGCAAAGUUCGCUCCAAUUUGCAAUUUAUCAAUCAAUGUGACUGAUUUUAUUUUGGGGUUAAGUAAAGGAGAAAAGAUAUUUCAUGGGGCCUUUUGAGUGACCUCUUUCAAUUUUUGAGCACUCUUAUUGUAUAACUCGGAUCACCAAUCUAGUGUAUACAUUUGUGAGUUUUCAGGUUGGAGGUUGAAAAAACCCCAAUUCAGUCUUAUUUCUUAAAAUUCAUCAUGAAAUCUCUUAAUGAGCUCAAUAAAGAAUGAAAUGUACACGAGUAUUAUACAAAACAAAUAAUUGUCUGAACAAAAGUUUCAUUAUUGCCAAUGUUUGAAAAAUUUUAAAAGCAAUACAUAUGAGAAAAAUUCUAAAGAAUUCCUUUACACGUGUAUACGCACUUUCCUCUCUUAAAAACCCCCUUUUCCUUUGAGCAAUGAAAUCUCUUAAAUGUUUUACACGAACGCCUUCAGAUGAAUUUUCAAAUUUCACAUUGUAGGGCUUGCCCAAGAACCAAGUAAUACUUGUAAUUUUCAAACCUUAUCAGAUUAAAAUUGUUAUCAGAUAUGGAAAGAUAUUUUUCACCUUAUUGAACUAUUUUUAUGAAUGCAGGGGGAAGGGGGAAAAACAAAAGAAAAAUACCCUGAGUUAGUAAUCAAGAUUAUAAAAUCGGCAUGCAUGUCCUAUGGGGGAGCCCUUUUAUGCCAAGGGUAGGUCUAGCAUGAAAAUGCAAUCCUUUAGGGUAGGCACUAUACCAUACCUGACGAAUCCGAUCAACUGAUUGAGUGAAAAAUGAUUUGAAAAAUUUGGCCGAUCGGAGUGAGAAGAAACAUUUGUCUUAAAAAAAUGAGAACAAAGUCCGAAAGGAUUGCUUGCUUUGGUUGACGCAUAAUGUGCCAAAAGGGGUAAAAUGGUCAACUUCAUUAAAUGAAAUUUGAAAAUUUAAUGAAAAUUGAAUGGAUAACCCUAAAAAAUGAAUUAAACUAAUCAAAUGAAUAAAAUCAAUUGAUUAAGCGAAAUGAUGAUUUAUUCAAAAUCGACCGAAUUGCCCUAAAAAUAGGUAAACUGGUCAAAUGUAUCGGAUGAUUUAUUCAAAAUUGAUAAGAUCACCCUAAAAAGGGUAAAGUGGUCAAAUGCAUUGAAUGCAAUUCAAAAAUCGACCAAAUCACCCAAAUAGGGUAAAUUAGUCAAAUGAAUUGAUUGAAAUCGAUGAUUUAUUCAAAAAUCGACCAAAUCACCCUAAAAAGGGUAAAUUGGUCAAAUGAAUUGAAUGAAAUUAAUAGUUUAUUCAAAAAAUCGACCAAAUCACCCAAAAAGGGUACAUUGGUCAAAUAAAUUGAUUGGAAUUGAUAAUUUAUUCAAAAAUCGACCAGAUCACCCAAAAGGGGUAAAUUGGCCAAAUGAAUUGAUUGGAAUUGAUGGUUUAUUCAAAAUUGAUUGAAUUGACCUAAGAAUGGGUAAACUAAUCAAAUGAAUUAAAUGAAAUUGGUGGUCUAUUUAAAAUCGACUAGAUUGCCCUAAAAAUGGACAAAUUGAUAAAAUGGAUUGGAUGAAAUUGAUGAAGGAAAUGAUCCAAUGGAUUGAAUGAAAUUGGGAGCUUAUUAAAAAAUCAAACUAUCCACUGGUAGUUUCAAAAAAAUAUUACGAUGCAUUAGCCUAUGAGCCUUCUAAAAUCAAAUUUUGGCCUCAAUUUAUUUAUCGUCUCAAUAGGAGGAAUCAUUUGUAAAUUUCUUCAGAUUAAUGUCCUUUGCGCAAGGGAUUUUUACCAACUUUGAUAAAAUGGCCAAAAGUGAUUAUUAGACGUUCAUAUUCCAAAAAUCGCUCCUAUGAAGACGACUGGAUCCUACCUUACCUUGUGCACUACCCCUUUUGAUGGUAUAAAAUGUAAACGUGCAAGUCUCUUUGGAUUAAGUAUCCGAGACACAAGGUGAUUUAUUCCUGACACGGGAUCCCCUAAAUGGCAUUCCCUUCUAAGGUGGAUGCAUGAUGCCAGUUUAUUAAAGCAAUAAAACAUGCGAUUUAAAGAAAAACAUGCUCUAAGGAGCCCUUUAUACGCCAGGGUAAGCCUAAAAAUGACAUGCCAUUAUUAAUUUAUGAAUGAAAUAUACCGAAAUUUCUAAACGUGCAAUAACCUAUCUAUAAGGGUAGGUCCUAAAAGAGGAUCGUGUCAGACCUCUUAUUUCCUAACGUUUGUGAAUGCAAAAGACAAGAGACAAGGAAAGUUAGUUCAAUACAUAACACGUUGGACAAUUUAGAUAAUAUAAAAAGCAACAAAGAUAUAUAAGGAAAGGGGGUGGGAUCCCUCCCCUCGCGAAUGGUGUCCCUAAUAGGGUAAGAGCGGUUUCUCUUGGGCUUGGGCGGCAUGAACCAGGGCUUGAAGUGACUCCUUGAAUCUCUUGGAUCGUGCUCGUGUCAUUGGCCCUUGGGGCACCUUUACAGGGUCUACUUGAACACCAUGGCUCUCGUCCGCAUCAGACCUCAACCCUAAACUCCCAGCCAUCUUUCCCAAAAUUGCAGCUAAAGGAGCUGCCCAAUCCUUCCUUGCAAACUGCGACAAUACGCAGCUUGCAAGUCGCGUAUAUUUUUUUUUUGAAAUUAAUUAAAACAAAAUUGAUAAUAAAAAUAAAUAACAAAAAUAACUUAAUUAACAUUGGAUAAAAAUAAAUAAACUAAAAACAACAAAGUGCAAAUUCCAUUUUCUUUUUUUUUUUAUUUUCCAUCGUCAUUUUUCCUCUUUCUCUUUUUUUUCCAAGAAAACAUUGAAAUUAAAUCACAAACAACUAAAUCAUAUUUUUGAAUGCUUUUCUUUUCUUUUUUUUUCUUUUUCGAGAAAUUCUAUGCUAAAAACUUACAAAUAAAAAUAAUAAAAUGAAAACUAAAAAGUGAAUAAAGCUUAACACGACAAAUAAAAAUUAAGACAAAAAUAGUAAAUGCAAAUUACACUAAAAUUUUGAUGUCUACAAUAGGUUUUUCUUGGGGUUGUUUUUGUUGUUAAUAAAGAUUUUCUUUUUUCAACAGCCAAUAGCUUGGAGACUUUUUUGUCAGUAGACUAUAGUUCAUGUUGAGACUUUUUUGUCAGUAGCCUAGAUUUUGUGUUGGGACUUUCUUUGUUAACAUUUUUUCAAAUUCUUUUUUUUUUUAACGAUAAUUGGUUUUUUUAGUUUUUUUUUUCAUCCUACUAACAAUUUCAGAAAAGAAUACUCAAAAUGUUUGAGAAAAAACCAAUUUACGUAUAAUGUUGUUUAUUUCAAUUUUCAAAUAUGUAUGUAGACGACUUGCUGUCAAGCCUUUUAUGAGGUUACUAAAACUAAACAUCUAAAAAGUAGCUAACUUUAUAUUAUUCAUUUAUUCAGAUUAUUAUGACUUGCCAUCUUCCUAUUAUUUGAAAAAUCAUAAGUUGGGAGAAAGCUAUGCAAAGCCUUCACAAGUAUAUAGUGUUAAUAAAAAAACAUAUAUAUGGUAUUGCCAAUUGAAAAAUUGGUGGUAAAUGUAACACUAACAUUCAAUCUAUGACGACUCGUAAAAUUUCUUAUAUUUUUCUUAAAAUUUUCUUUAAUUUAAAAUUUAUUACUUUACAAUAAUUUUAAUACACAUUCACUUCCCCAAUAGGUACAAAUAAUCAUAGAAACAAGGGUUUUCUUUUUACUUUCAUUGUUACGAUAAAUUAGGGUUUUACGUCUUUUCAUAGUGUGACUAUUCGGUACGGAGUGUGUAUCAAAUUUGGUGAAUAAGAGUGAGUUUUAGAUGAUAUUAAGUGUGUGAUUAGAAAUGAUAAUAAUAAAUUAGUGAAUUAUAAGAUAAAACUCUAGUAUAUGUGAUUUAAGGAAAAUCGGCUCGAACCGACGGGUAUCGUUCAUUACCGAUUGAACACACCACUUGACCACCACUUCAUUAACUUAAUCUCAUUGUUAUUAGAGCCAAAAUAUCAGCCCAUAAUCAGCAUGUGAUGGCCAAAAUUUUUGACUUCAAGAACCAAGAGAAAAGAAAAAAAUUGAGAUGGAAAUUGGUGGUGACAAGUGGCAUCAAUCCAUGCAUUUUUACCCAAAUUAGGACAAAGCCUUAUAACCUUCUUGGACUUCAUUUUCCCUUCAUUUUUCAUUCCUCUUGGUUGAACCUAGGAGAGAAAAAAAGGGAGAAAAUAACUUCAAUUCCAUCUUGGGUUUUGCUUAAUUGAGUGAGAAAACAAAAAAACUAAACCGAUUAACUUGCAAAUUGAGAGCUUGGGAAGCUUAGGGAGCUAAAUUUCACAAGGAAAGGUGAAGGAUAACUCUUGAAAGCCCUUUUAUUGAGGUAUUAUGGCUGACCAUCCUUUCCUUUUCCCUUACUCUUGCUUGAGUUAUGUAGUAACUUGAAUUCAUGCUUGGUGAUACCUAAUCUAAGUGAUUUUGACGAUUGUAGUGAUGAAUUUUGAGUUAGGGUUUUGAAUGGGUCAUUUAUAUUUCUUAUUGUUUGGAUGGUAUAUGGUAUAUAUAAUCUUGUAUAGGAGGUUGUGAUAGUGGUUUAAGCUAGAAAUGUGAAGUUUACCCUUUGAAUCCACCAAAUUCCAAAUUUGAGUAUUCAUGUUACCCUGUUCUGACUGGUUCUGUUUGACCAUGAUGGUGGCCAAAUUAGGCUUAGUACAAAACAUAAAAGUUGUAGGGAAUGAUGUUUUAUAGCUGCCUAUAAAAUUUCACCUAAAUCAGAACACUGUAGCACUUGAAAAGACAAAAAUACCCCUGACUGCCAUAGGUAGAGCUCUGUGGACAGUUUUGACAUUUCACCAAUAUGACCGCGUCUAUUCACCCUGAUCCGUACUGAAUUAGCAUUUGAUAAAAAACAUAGAAGUUGUAGUGCUAUGUCUUAGCCUUCCAACGGCCAUAAAAACGCCUCAAUCAAACUCUGGUAGCCUGAGUUAUUGUCGUUUACGCAUAGUGAGGUUAACUAGCCUGAGUGUGAGAUUCUGGUUCUGUAAUUGGAAAUUUUGACCUGGAUACACUACGAACUGGACUGAGUGGUCUUCAACAAAGUUGUAGCCCUUUAUCUUAGCUUCAAAAUGGUAUAAAUUGCACACUAAUUCAAUAAGCAUAGCUUCGGUUGUGUCCGAUACGCUAAGCGACAUCAAAUCUAUCUUUUGUUUUAUGAAUUAAACUUCAUUUUCGGACAUUUUCCUAACUUGAUUUUGUACUUGUACAACAUUGAACCUAUUGAAUGGCUAUUGAAAUGAAAUUAUUUUGUGUGUGACUUUGGGACUGAUUGAGGACAAGAAUGAAGCCAUAAAUGGUUGGAAAAUAAGUAAAUACAAAGGGCGUGCUGCCCAAAUUUGCGCUCGAGGGCUAGGUAGAUAUACUCGCGAUUUGCGUAAAGAUUUGAGAACAAUACCACUUGAACCAUUUAGGAUAUUUGCAUCUUCUUUUAUCGAGGUAUAUAAGUUAGAACUUGGCCGACCUUGUAUCCUUGGAAAAUAAAAGUAAUAAUCAAUAGAAAUAUGUUUUUCUCGUUCUUUCGACUCCAAUGGGAAUUCUAAAGUUUUAACCGCUUUCUUACCGAAACUAAACGAACGAGCAUAAAUUUUUCGAAAUUUGAUAAGUAUCUUGAAUACUACUUAAACGAGUUGCAUUUACUUGAUUUUCUUGAAGCAAAACUCCUAUGUUUCAAACUUGAGAGAGUUUUACAUUCAUCAAUGAUAUUUUAUCGCAGAUUUGGACUUCAACCAAGGAAUUGGACCUAAACGUGAGUUUUGAAAAGCACUACAUUUUGGUGAGUGCUUCCAAAUACCUGGUUGAACUAGACAUUUGUUGUCAAUAUUUGAUCAAUGUAAAUACAUGAUAUGUGAUUUGUUUGAUCGGGUAAGAGUGUACUUUAUUGCACUUGUUCUAAUAUGGUAUAUACUUGUUUAUUGUUGUAAUUAACUUGAUAUACUUGUACUUGAGUUGUAAGUGUGGAGCAGCAGUAUGUACCACACUGAAUCCGAGUAGGACGUACUUCUCAUUCCCGUCUCCGUACUUUUAUUUUGAUUCAGUCGAUUGGAGAUGUUAUCUCAUCGACAUCUUGGGGACCUAAACCCCACUGGCUAGUUAAUUGAGUCGAGCCGGUAAGGGGUUGGUCGAUUAGAUAACGAACCAUGGGUAGUUAGUGAUGUCGAGUAGAGUGUUAUCUCCUCGACUAAUCGGUAUACUCGAGUAUUACCACCAGUGUUUAGUUGGUGUUCGGGCCCGAUAAGGGGGUUGAAUGGUGGACGGAUUAGAGUUAAACGAAGUACUACUGGAUUGGUUACUUUACUUGAAAGUUGAUGGAGUGUCAACUAAUAUUUGAUUAAACUCUGGUGAAACAAUGGGAACUUGGCUCCUGAGAGCCAUCCGUAUCCUUAUACUUUGAAAUGAUUAUUGCUUAUUGGAUUAUUGUUUCUUUUGAAAAACAAAAGCACUUUACACUCAUUCAUUUUGAAAUUUACUACUUGAAGUGUAUUGUUCACUUUUAUGAACAUGUUAUGCUCGUUCUUUUGCUACGUUGAUACUUGUACUUUUAAAUAAUGGUCAACUUGCUAUUUGGAAUCUCACUGGGCUUUUAGUUUAUUCCACUCCAUUUGUUUUCCUUACAGGGGGUACAAGCGAGGCGUAAGACGUGUACAGACUAGCGUAGUCUAGUUGCUUUUUAAUUUUGAAUUGUACUUGCGCUAGCACCCGACUAGGGUUGGUUGUACUUGAAUUAUAAACGCUUUGAAGUAUUUUGGUGUGUAGAAGAUUUGUAUCUGGAUUUGAGUAUCAAUGUAUAUAUUAAGUUGAAGGGGCUGUGUUAUUUAUUUUCUAUGGAUGUAUGUUAUUUUUUUUCUUGAACCCUGAGUGAGUGAAUCCUAGCGAGAGUUAGGCAGGUGAUCCGCCGAACCCUGGGGUACGCCCUAGGGGGAGGUGGGGCCGUCACACAAUCUUCUUUCAAACUUUUUUGCAAGGAAGAAGUUAAUGGAUGUGUCUAUUACUUCGGAAGUAGGAAACUCACAAACAAGUUUUAGAAGGAUGCACAAUAUCUAUACCAAAGGGUGUGAAUCUGAACUAAAUAAAUGAGUCAAUUUCUUUCUAUCAUGUGGUAGUUUUUGCUAAUUAGAACAAAUAAUCUGAAUGAUUUCAUGUUUGUAGGCAAUAACAAGCUUUCCGAAGAGUGAGAAAUCUGAAAUACUAGAUUUCGAGCAUUGGUUAGAAGCCCUAUUUUGUACCAUACUGCAGAAGAUAGAAAGUGGAUGGAACUUAAGCAAAAGUGAAUUAGUUUAGAUGAAACUUAAGCACAAGUGAAUUACUCAGAGACCACCUAGCCACGCUUAUACCAAGAAUGGUCCACAUUGACAACUACUUUGUCAAUGUGGACAGCAAGAGGAGUGGCUAUCAAUUUCUAACCACGGUAGUGGCACUCUUGGAGAGCUCAUCGGCUCUGAGUCUCACCACUCUUUUUUGUUCCUUUUUGGUGAAAAUGGCAAUGCCAUACAUGGUUACUGUGACAGCCACAUGAACUGCCACAGCCCGAAAUAAGUACAGUUUACAUGUGUUUCCAACUAAAUAAGUACAGUUUACAUUUGUCCUCUUGUAAUAAUACUUGAAAGAAUAAUAUCUUGGGUAUAAGAUACAAAUGAUUGCAUCGCAAGUAAGUUUAUUUAAACCUGGUCAUAUGCCACCUAGGAGAACCACAUCACAUGAACUAUUAGAGCCUUAACUCACAAAGAUGGAAUAACCUUAGGGAUGUGGAUGGCAAUUGUGGUGGGAAUCAUAACACUAUUGGGCUGGGGGUUGUGGUGGUGGAAUUAUUUUCAAUUUGCUCUGCCAGUUACUUUCCGGCAUUCUGGAGGCAGCAUCACGACCAAGCUUCCUUUUGGCCACAUGGGGAUUCCAUUUUUCGGAGAAAUGCUUCAUUUUCUUUGGUAUUUUAAGGUUAUUCAUCGACCUGACGACUUCAUUAACAAUAAAAGAUACAAGUAAGGUUUUUCUCCAUGUUUGAGUUUUAUUCCUUUCUUGUUCAAUUUUAUUACUAGUAAGUUUGUUUGCACAACUAUCCAACUUAUUGCUAUAUACAUGGAGGCCAUUGGCUCGAAUUCAUGGCAUUUGGCUGUAGCAAUUUCUGCAACAUCUUGUAGACAAUUGCAUGUCUACUUCCUCAAGUGUAGAAGUGCAGGAGCUGAUCCACACGUUAGUUAUGUGCCUUUUGAUGAAUUGAACUUAAAAAGGAUCGAUCUCGCUAUCAAAUUCUUGUAGUGUAAAUGAAAUUUGGAAUAUGAAAGGAAUGCUACGAUAAUAGUGAAGAACUAAAAUUGCUUUUGCACCUUUUCUUUUUCAAUUUCUAUCUUACAAUGGACCUAUGAUAUUCAAUUUAAUUGAAGAACAUGGUUUAAAAUUAUCCUCAAUAUUUUCUAACCCAAAAAGGUGAAUAUUGUAGACAUGUAUUGAUGGGUGGAUUAUUUUCUGUAAGAAAACAUUUUCGUGUUAAAACAUUUCAUAAACAAUAGCAUUUUCUUAAGUUUUCAGGUCAUGACACGUUCCUUCCCUUAAUACAGUAUAAAAGAAGAGUUUAUAUGCAGUCUAAUCAAAUCACAUAAAAAUCCAUAAUGCCUUCAACUUUAUUAGCUGAUGAUGUUUUGUCGUAAAGAUUUUCACUCAAAAAAAGUAAUGGAGAUGGGAAUUGGAGCUAAAAGUUUACCAGAAAUUGCAACAUUGCAGUCUAAUCAAAUCACUUAAAAUCCAUAGUGUCCUCAACUUUAUUAGCUAAUGGUGUUUUGUGGUAAGGAUUUUCACUCACCAUGCCAUUUAGCAUGCUUGAAAACUCUUCACAAUCAUAAAUUUCCAAUCAAAUCAACAAUAAAUGUGAAGGACAAUAAAUUUGAUGGGAGCUACUCUUGCAAUUUUCCCUACAAAUAGGCAGGAAAAGACGUAAGGUGAUGUCAUGUCACUCUAAAACAAAGUUAUUAAACCCGUUCUAUUUGAGCAGUUCAAUCGGCUAAUCUAGUGAAUCGACUAUUUAACUGGGUUAGGUUGAUAGUUGGAGAUGAUAAUAGAUUCCUAUUGAAAAGUCAUCAACCUGUCGCUUCAACUAAUGAACUCCCAAACUCGAUGAAUUUGAUCACCAGUUCAAUAAUUAUAUUUUCUUAACAAUUAUAUUAUUUCAUUAUAUUAUGACCCACUAGUUUAACCAAUUAACUCCUGAUUAAACCCUUGAACUAAUCUACUUACCAGGUUGAUGACUGUGCCGGAUUUAAUUAUUAUGCUCAAACCUGUUCCAAAAUAACAAAUUUAAUAAGUUAUAAAAUUUGAAUAGAGGAAGAUUAUAAUUAUUUUAUGCCCCCAAAAUAUAUUUGAGUUAUUGGUGCCAAGAGAAUUGAUUAAACAAAAUUGAUUUUUCCAAAAUUGAUGUUGCCUAACCUGUUUUGAGAAAUUGAUGUUGUCACCGUGUGCUCGUGUCAAAUCUGCAAGUUGUGGAUUAAGUGGGAGGUGAGUUGACAUUUCUUCUACCUAGCACAAUAUUUCAACUUGCUGGUUACAAAUUGUUAAACAAUAAGCUUUCCCAAAAAAAUAAAAAAGAUACAAAUUGACUUCAUUAGCUUUAGAGUAAAAUUAAGGGUAAAAAACAAAAAAAUCCCCUGUGGUAAGCCUAAUACACAGAAAAGCCCCAUAUGGUUUCAAAAUAUACAAUACGACACCUCAUACUUUAAACUAAAUUAUAAAGGUGACAAAAUCCGUUAAAUUUAACGGAAAUGACUUAUUGAAACCUAAAAAAAAAAUUUUAUGACUAAUUUUUAUCAAAUAUACCUAUUCUACCCCUUAACCCUCAAUUCUCUCUACUUAGAGACUAAAACAAAUGAUUUUUUUGAGCUGUCUUUUGCUUAAUUAUUUCAGUGCAUUUUGGUCAUUUUGUCAAUUUCCGUUAAGUUUAACGGAUUCCGUCACCUUUACAAUUUAGUUCAAAGCAUGAAGGGUCGUGCUGUAUAUUUUGAAACCAUGGGGAUCUUUUCUGCAUAUUAGGUUAAUCACAUGGGCCUUUUUUGUUUUUUACCCUAAAAUUAAUUAUAAUUAACAUGGUGCUUCCAAAUUAAUCAUUUAAAUCAGAUAUGGUGAUGGAGAAGGACUGUACAAAAGCCUUCUCUUUGGUUCACCUUCUAUAAUUGCAUGCUCUCCAUCGGCUAACAAAUUCAUCCUUCAAUCAAAUGCAAACUUUGGCAUGGGAUGGCCUGCCACUCAAAUUAUAGGCAACAAUUCCCUCCUUUUCCUCCAAGGAUCAUCACAUGCAAGGAUUAGAGGAUUAGUUGUGAAGGUCAUUAAUCAACCUGAUGCUCUCCAUAAGGUAGCCAUUAUGGUCCAACCAAGAAUAGUUGCAGCCCUUCGACUAUGGUCAGAGAAAGGAAGAAUUGUAGCAUUGCAAGAGGCUAAGAAGGUUGACUAAUAUAUGUAUAAAAAUUAUAGAUCUAUAUAAAAUUUUCUUGAUGUAAGUUAUCAUACUAAUUUCAACUUUCAUGAAAUCUCUCUAGGCCAUCAUUUUCCUUAUUUUUCGUUAUUUUUUCAUUGUCCUUGAAAGUUACUUUUGAAAAUAUUGGGAAGUAUUUUUUCGGGUUCGAGCCAGGACCCCAUUUGGAUACACUUGAUCAGCUAUUUACAGGUAUGAUCAAAGGAGUUAGAAGUCUUUGAUUAAUGGUUUAAGGGCGGGAUGGGAGGUCCCCGCUGGGAUUCGGCCAGUUGUUCGCGCUAUUUGGCUGGUUGCUCCAGGUUUUCACCAGUUCUGUCAUUGCUUCCGAGAGGGGAAUACGGUGGCGGAUUCCCUAGCAACAUAUGGGGCCGCGUCGGGAACUCGCUUUCUGUUCACUACAGGCUCACAGUUGCCGUCUCGUACAAAGGGGCUUUUAGCUUUGGACUUACAGAAUUUUUGUAAUUUCCGAUUUUCUUUUCGGAAGUAAGGCUUUUGCCUUACUCUGGGCUUUGAUUAAUAAAAAGUAAUAGUUCUUAUAAAAAAAAAAGGAAUUAGAAGUCAACCAAUUAAAAUUCCAGGGACUGCUUAUCAUCACGCCCUCCGGGCUAGAAAGCUCACUCUUAAGCUAAAAUAGUACAAAAAUGAGUAAAUUCCCUUUAUGGGAGGUUUUUAAUUUCUAAAGUUCCAAUUCUUGUAUGAGGUAGACUUAAAUUCCAAUCACUAAUCACAAAUUUGUCAUUCCACAGUGUCGGAAGAAAGUCAUGACAAUUUUUACCAUGGAGAUAAAUAAGAAAAAGUUUGAAGGCAAUGCUGCAAGAGCUGAGUUUGAUUUGGUGGACCAACUCUUGAACCUAAAAGAUGACGAUGGUAAUCAAUUACAAGAUGAAGAGGUGCUUGAUAACAUUGUAGGCCUAAUAAUUGCUGGCUACGAAUCUACUUCACUUUCAAUUAUGUGGAUUUUGUAUUAUCUCGCCAAGCACCCCCAAUGUACUCAAAAAGCUAUGGGUAUAAGUAACUUCCAAGCACUAUCUAGAUAACAACCAAAGAUAAACUUCUUUACUUGUUCUUGAUUACAUUUAUAUAUGUUUCCUUUUUCAUGACUCUAAAUCGAAUGAAUUGUAAGAGGAGCACAUGAAUGUUGGUACAAAUGGUGAUUUCAUAAGACGUGAUGACAUUCUAAAAUUGCACUACACAAACAAGGUAUAUCUGCACCAAGAUUAUACGGAGAUUAGUUAGGAAAUGCUAAUACUAUUAUUAAUUUGUUAAAGGUUCAUCUAUUUGGUGUCCUAAGGUAAUUAAAUAAGAAGUAGGUCUAUUUUUCAAAAAUGUAGAAGAGUAAAUUUUGUUGAAAAGUGUUGCAAUUGAGAGAAUGAUUGGUACUUAUAAAGGUUUAAUACUGGCCCCCAACCUUCUUUUUUUUUGUGCUUAUCUAGUUCCUUAACAACACCAAAUAGAAAAAAGAAAGAAAAAAUGUUUACACUAAAAUAGUGGUCGCGUGCCUUUUUGAAAAUCUCAUCAUUUGUUGAGGAUGCAAAUGGCGGCGAUGAUGCAUCUUGUUUUAUGGGAAUGUAUUUCAUAGAUCCAACCUAUCCCUUUAUCAUAUAGUCAAAAGUUAUAUAUACCAUCAAUUAUUUGACAUGGUACUUUAUUUGUAUUUGAUACUGUUGGGAAAGGGGUACAGGUACAGACACACAAUAUCAGAGUUAGUCCAAAAUAAAUUUCUCUUUCUUUAAAUACCAGUUAAAAUAGGAAUAAAUCAAAUCACCAAGUAAUAAUACCAGCAGUGAUUAUAAAAUACAAGAAAAAUAAAAGGCACAAGACACCAAGAUUUUUACGUGAAAAAUUCAAAUUGGAAAAAAUCACGGGAUCUAGUCCAAUAAAAAAUCUCCACUAUCAUAACAAUAGAAAUACACAGGUCUACCCGAAAUAUUCGGAUGACAAUAAUAUCAUCAAUACCAACCAAGCCAAUCUGCUACAAAAUCACCCCCAAAAAUUACAACUGUCAAAGAAGUAGGUUUGGAAAGGUGCUAUCAAACAAAAAGGAAAUCUGAAAUCUGAACAAGUAGAUGAGUAGAACUUGACGAGAGGAUCGCGUAUGUAAAAUUUCGUCUCAAUUGGACUUCAAAUCACUUUCCAACUGAGGUUUCAAAGUUGCAAAGAAUGUUCUCUCUCUAGCUCUCACUCUUUCUUCCUCUUCGUUUCUCUCCCAAAUUCUGUGGCUGGAAUUCUUCUCACAAAAAUGCUUUCUAGCGAUUGUCUCAAUGUUCCGUCACAUGAAAAAGCCCUCAAGUCUUAGUGACUUGUGUUUUAGGUUGGCCCACAAAUGGGCUGUGUGACGACCCCACCUCCCCCUAGGGCAUACCCCAGGGUUUUGCAGACCGCCUGCCCAAUUCUCGCCAGGACUCGUUCACUCUUAAUAAAUAAAAUAAGAUAUAACUUUAAGAAUAAGUGAAAUAAUAGUUCCCAAACUUGGAACGUGCACUUACAUUCAUAUCUUUCCCAAACAUUCAUACAAUCCCAACUAUAACAAAAGUUGUGAAUUCCAGAUACAUUCAAUCCUAACCAAGCACUAGCGCGAGUACAAUCGCAAAAUUUAAAAAAUUAGACUAUGCUAGUUUGUACCAGUCUCACGCCUCGCUCGUACCCCCUGUAAGGAAAACAAUGCGUGGAAUUAGCUAAAAACCCAGUGAAAUUCCUAAACAAGGAAUCAGGUAUAGAAAUCAGGGAAACGUUACAUUUAACAAUUUGCACAUUUUGCACAGUAAUAUCCAGUCAUUCAAGAAAUAAACACUCAAUCAUUGGAAGGAUACAUGCUCACUUGGAGCCAUUUAUUCAUUCAUUCGUCAAUCAUUUUCCUUAUCCCUCCGAUAUUAGAAAACAUUUGCAAGUGAAAACUCCUCUAGUUCUUGAUAUUCAUUCAUUCAUUUCAUUUCCCGCCACUAACCAAUUCACUGGCCAAUCUCCACCAAUCUUCGUGGUCAUACUCGAGUAUACCAAAAUACUAUGUCAGGGUCACCAACCGUCCGACCGAGUCCACUUCUGGCUCGAGUCGGCUGGCAACGAUGGGCAAGGAUCUAAUUCAGUUAAAAGGCUUACAUUCAUGCACAAGUAGCAUUCAAUCAUUGAAAAUUCACUUUGGCUUGGGUCGAGUGCGAUAAAGUACACACUCACCAAUCGAAAAUCCAUUUAGUAAUCCUUAGAAAGCAUUUAACAUUCAAGCAAACAUUCACAAAUAGUCACAUAGUCACUUAUUGUACAGACACACAAGGAACACUCACCAAAGAUUUAGUACUUGUCAAAAUCACGUUCAGGUGUAACUCCUUGGUUGGAGUCCAAAUCUGCGAUACAAUAUCAUUUAAAAACUUGAAAUCAACUAGGAUUCGAAACUUAAGAGUUUCGCUUUAAACAGAUCAAGUAAAUGAAACUCGUUUAGAUAGAAUUCAUGUUACGUAUCAAACUCUAGAAAAUUUAUGUUCGCUCUUUUGGUGUUGCUAAAGAAGCAACUAAAACUUUGAAAUUUGCAUUUAAAUCCAAAAGACGAGGAAAAUAUAUUUUGAGUGGUCACUAUUUUUAUUUUUCCAAGAGUACGAGUUUCGGCUAAAUUUCAUUUUAUAUACCUUUAUGAAAGAAGACUCGAAUACCAUGGACAAUCCAAGUUCAAUUCAACCUCAAAUUUUCAUUCAAGUCGCGAGUACACACGCUUAAUUCUCGAGUAAAAAUUUGGGCGGCAUGCCCUUUGUAUUUAGCUAUUUUUUCAGUCAUUUAUGACUUCAUUAUUUUUUCUCAAUUCAGCCCCAAAGUCACACAUAAAUAAUCUUACCACAAUAGCCAUUCACUAGGUUCAAAGUCAUUCAAUUACAAAUCAAUGUUUACAAUACGAUCGGAACUAAUGUUCAAGACAAAUAGCAUAAUAAUAGGUUUGACGUCUCUUGGCAUUUCGGUCACAACCGAAGUUACGCCUAUCAGUUUGGGGUACACUUUACACCGUUUUGAAGCUAAUACAGAAAACUACAAGUCUUAUGAAGGCAUCGAUAGCCAUUUCAUUCAUUUUCAAGGUCAAAAGGUGCAAUCUCAAAGAAAACAGAAAACUAUAGGCGAAACAGUACAUUUGGCAGUCAAGGGUAUAUUUGUCAUUUCACAUGGUACCAUACUCUGAUUGAGCUGAAAUUUUGUAGACAAUUAGCUAACACCAUUUUCUACAACUUUCAUGUUUUAACCUAAGCUUGAUUCGGCCUCUAAUAUGGACGAAUUAAACUAGUCAGAAGCAGGACAGAUUUCUCUCUAAAGCUGGAAAUUUAAUGAUUCAAUGCUUACUAGUCAUAUUCAUAUCUUGAAUCACUAUCCAAGUCCCUAUCCAAGCUCCUCCACAUCAUAUACUAUAUAAAUAACAAUAAACACGCUGAAAAUUCCAAACCCUUGCUCAACAAUCCAACAUAUCAUGCCAAACUAACAAAUUAACCGUCUGAAGCCAAGAAUAUAAGAUUCUAUCCAACUUAAACAAGAUUAAAGAAUAGAAAAAGGAUAGGCAGCCAUAAUACCUUUCCAAAAGUGCUUGUAAGUGAUAACCAAACAUCUUUCUUACAAAAAUUUUUCCACACAAAGCUUGCCAAACACCACAAGGUAAGUUUAAUCAGUUUAGGUUUUGAAAUUUCACUCAAACAAGAAGAAUUCAAGGUUAAAGUGGAACUUUUCUCUCUUGGUUUUUCUCCUCCCUCAAGCUCGGCGACAAGAUGCAAAAAUGAAGAAGAAAUGAAGUAAAGUUGGUGAUAAAAAUGAAGGAAAUUGGUUGGUCAAACAACCCUUGGAUGGUUGCCAAGUGUCGCCUCAAGCUUCAAUCUCAAAUUUUUUUCUUUUCCUCUCUUUUAUUCGUCAAUAAUUUUGGCUGAUUAGAGGAGAUAUUUGGGGCUAAUUUUGCUGAAACAAAAGUAAGAAAAUUAAGGUAAUAAAGUAGUGUUCAAGUGGUGCACUGGUAGCGAACGGUACUCGUCUGUUCAAACCAAUUUUCCUUAAAUCGCGCGUACUAGGGUUUUAACUUAUGAUUUACUAACUUAUUAUUAUCACUUCUAAUCACACACUUUCUCUUAUAUAAAACUCACUCUUAAUCACCAAAUUGAGUACACACUCCACACCGAUUAAUCACACUACCAAAAGACGUAAAAACCCUAGUUUACCUUAACGAUAAAAGUAAAGGGAAAAUCCUUGGUUCUAUGAUUAAUUGUAACUAUUGAGAAAGUGAAUGAGUAGUAAAUCUAUUGUAAAAUAAUGGAUUCCAAAUAAAAGGGAAUUUUUAAGAAAAUAUGAGGGAUUUUACAAGUUCUCACAAUCACACUACCAAAAUGCACACAAAAACACACACCAAAACCCUUCCUUUAGAAAAAUCAUAACUUAAGUUAUAAAUAUCAAAAAUUUAUACAACUUGGCUUGUUAAAAAUUAGACUUCAAAUAUUAAGAAUCUUUAGAAGACACCUCAAAGAUAUUUUGUAGACACCAAAUUUUUUUAUUUUUAUUUUAUUUUAUUUUUUUAAUAAUUAUUAUCUAUUUUAUUUUAUCAAUCUCAUGGUUUUAUUUUUAGAUUUUUUUUAGCAUUUUAGAUACCAAACCUUUUUAAUUUAGCUUUAUUUGUUAUUAUUUUCAUUUUUAUUGUUUAGAUAUAUUAUUAUUCUUAACUUUUAGCAUUAAAAAAAAAGAAAAAAAAGAGAAGAGCGCAAGAUGUCAGUACAGAAGCAAAAAUUAAAUCUGGCCAUUUCUUCCAUUUUUACUCAUUUCCGUUGCAUUUUUUGUAUAAAGUCCAGCUCAUCAUUCAAAGAUUUCAUUCAUAAAAAAAUCAAAGGGACAAGAACAAGACACAUAAACCUAUUUUGGGGUUUGAAAUCUCAGCCUUCCAUCGUAGGUUUAGGUUUUCGAUUCCUUUAAAUGCUUGAAAACACAUCUAGCAAAAAGGGAAGGCAAGUGUGACGAUGGAAAAAAAAUAGAAAACGGCGGAGGGAAAAACCGAGAGAGAGCUUGGGGUGGAGGCUACGGAAAAAGACUAAAGAAAAGCUAAGGAAGAAAAAGGGGGACGUUGGCAGGGGAACGAAGAAAAAGACUAGAGUUUCGUCUAGGGCUGGCGGCUGAAAAAGAGAGAAACAGAAACAGGAGAGAAAGAAAAGGGCCACGGCGGGUAAAGAAAAGAGAGGGAGGAAAAGGAAACAAAAAGGGGCUUCAGGCUGAGAAAAAGGGGGCUUCGGGCAUUAAGAAAAACAGAGGAAAGAAAACAGGGGAGGCUUGCGGCUGAGAAAAGCAGAGCAAAAGGGAAAAACCAAAGGGGCGGCGGACUAAGAAACAGAGGAACCACCGCCGCUCAUGCCGCCACCACCUCGCCGAACCCACCAUCAUCACCAUCCUCCCUCUUUGAAUUUCAAUUUUCCAUUUUAGCAAAACAUUGGAAAGUCUCAAAGCAUGUCUGGCGUGCACUUGUUUAGGGUAAAUUUCAUGUUGAUGGCUCCCGAUUUUAGAUUGUAUGCUUUGUAUAUUGGUUGGACUGGGAUCUCUUGUGUUUUGAUAAAUUUUGGGGCUAAUUACGGUUUCAAUUAAGCAAGAAUCGGUGAAUUUCCUUUUGCCCAUCUAUUGCUCGAUGAAAUGCCCAACUGAGGGUUCGGUUUUGAAGGGACGAAUUGAUUUCUGAUUUGCAUGUGUUCGGCCAGUCCAUGCUUGUCAAAAUUAUUGAUUCAGAUGGGUCUGUUUGGCGUCCGUUUGUUUGGCAUCUAUUCUGUUUCUCUUUUGCUUGGUGUUCUUUUGGUAUGAACCCAAAUUAAUGACAUGAGUGGAUUGAGAUUAGAUUCGUGUGAGAGUCGUUUAUGUGUGAGCCUGAAAUCGAACUUUCUAGUGUUCUUCGUCUGUAAAGAAGAACGAAAUCAGGUGAUUGUGUGGUCUGAUGCUGAGCCGUUUGGAGAAGAUGAUUAUUUUUCUGAUUUACAACUUUAGUCCCUCCAUUUUCAUUUCUUUGUAAUUUAACCCCAAAGUUUCAGGACUUCAUAAUUUGACCCCAAGACUUUUAAAAGGCUUUCAAUUGGAUCCCUGCUAUAAUUUGCAAAUUGGUCCUAAAACUUUAUCUUUCCCUCAAUUUUUGCCCCAAAGUUCUGAAAAUCCUGAUUAGGCCCUAAAGACUUUCUGAUAUUUGCAAUUUGGUCCUUGGCAGCUUUAAUUUCGCAACUUCAUUGCUUGUUUGCUUCAAUUAGCCACCAUACUUUGUUUAAACUGCAUUUAAUUCAUAAUUUUAAGAGUUUUAUGAUCAAUUGAGCUUGUGUUUGUAUAUUUUCUUUAGUUUUCUCAAUUAAAGUGAUGCCUUGACCUUUUCUUUGUUUUUAAAGGAUAAAUAAGUAAUUUUAUUCCAUUAGGGCCCUAAUUCAAGGAAGGUACACCCUACCCCUUAUUUCUUACUUUAUUUGACUCUAUGUGCUCUAUGUGACUUUACGUGUUUGAUUGUGUCUUUUGAAUGUUUUUUUUAUUUAGUUCAUUUAUUUAUUUGUUUGCUUUAUUGGAUUUAGUUUGGUAUAUUUAUUUUAGUUUAAAUUUUGAUCAUUUGAAAGGCAAUUUAAUGCCAAAAUUGUAAUAAUUAGGUUAUUAUUUUAUUUAUUAUUCCUUUCCCCUUAGAUUGUAGUAGGGCCUCCCCUUUUGUAAUAAAUAGGGCUUAUGUGCUAUGUGCUUGUGUGUGUUUAUAUGCCUAUGUGUUUAAUUGCUUUCCCUAGACUUCUGCAUCUAGAUAAGCAUGCUUAUGUGCUACGUGCUAUGUGAAACUGUGUGCUUUGCAUGUCUAUUUGCUUUAGUAUUAUAUCUGAUUAUAUGGAUAGAAUGUACGUUACUGUGGUUAGUCCAAUGCUAGUCAUGGUCUUCCCCUCAAGCUCACAAGUCCAAUGCUUGUGAGAGAACGUUAGUAAAGGGCUAGUCCAAUGCUAGACCCAAUAGGGCCACCCCUCGCUAGUACAUACUUGCAUGCCCUACACUACAUUUCCAUUCAUUUUUCCUUUUAGUAGUUUUACACUUUUGCAUGACCCUUCACUCCCUUUCCCGCAUUUGAAACAUGAUUUUUAGGAUUUUGCAUUUCAUUCUAGUCAUCUGCUUGAUUAGGUUAGGGAGUCACCCUUUUGGUAAAGGAAACAGACGAGUAUGGCUACACAUAGCCUUAGCACGCUUGUUUUCUUUCUAACCAAAAGGCAAAUCACAAGUCACAAUUUAGAAUCUCCCCGUACCCGAUAUGCUUGCAUUCCUUUAGACUUAUGCGUUCUAAUCCAUACUAUCAUUUUUUCACCUACUAUCACUUCACACACUCUCUCACCAUCUUACCACUUUGCACACUAUCACUUUAUCCACUUUAUCAUUUUGCACACCGUCAUUUCACUUUACAUUCUCUUAUAUUUGCACAUGUGCACUUUUAUAUACUCAUUUGCACCCUUGCACUUUACACACCCAUUUUCACAUUUGCACUUUACACAUUUGUUCCUGACACUCGUUUUUACACUUAAAGACAUUUUCGCACACUCUCAUUUUUUUUGCAUUGUUACUCGAGCAUUCAUUUACAUUUAUUUGUGACCUCUUUGAGGAUUCACCUUUGGCUAUCACAAUUCAUGUGAUUAGGACCAAUCAAGCCUCAAAAGAGACAUUUUGUUCCUUUUGAACCAAUCAUUAGAUUUAGGUUUUCAUUCAUGUUAGACACAUCCAAAAUGCAAUACAUCUUUUGGGUAGAAAUUAGGAAAAUUGUCACUAAAUCAUGCAACUAGCUUAGGUUAGAGUAAAAGGGUGCCUUAGACUUCGUCUUUGCCUUCCUUUUUAUCAACCGUGACCCCCAAACUCGUCUUUUUUAUUUUCGUAGACUAUGAGUCAUCUAAAAAGGUUUUUAUUUCAUUUUUCAAAACUACUUUUUGAGUGACUUGCUACACCCCAACUCAAUACCAAGUAGCGACUCCUAUUUAAAACCUUUUUAGACAAUCAUUUUGGCCAAACCGUCGCAUUUAAAAUUCCCAUGGCCUUUCCCUUUACCUCACACAUUUCACACACACUAUAUGCAUCAUGAUUUCAAACAAUUUACUUAACUUUUUCUCAAAAAUGGGGCGCGACAGAUUUAGUUUACAAGUUAGUCCAAAUUGAGCCAUAAGCUACUACAACAUUCCUAUGUUUACUUGUGCAGGGUAGAAUUUUCAGUCAAUUUUGCCAAUUUUCUAGAAUUUAUAAACAUUGAAUCAAACUUUGAAUUUUACAUCGUAGGAAGCGCUCUGAGUCUAAUUUCAAACGCAAUAAACUAAACUCAAUUCCGACUUUCCUAUACGAAAUUAUAGCCAAUUUUUCAAAGUUGCGUAGAGCCUCCUACGAAAAUUUCUAGAUUUUCUAAUAAUUUGAGAUUAUGAAACUUUUCUUAACAAAAUUCACUCCCUUGACUCAAAUUCAACCAUUAAAACAACCAAGAAUCAAAGAUAAGUGAGUUCACAUAAGGGUUAUAAAGAAAAGUAAAAUUUCGGAGUCUCACAAGCUGGCUCACACAAGUCCAACAAUCUCCCUCUCCAGCUCAUUUGAAGGGCUCCACCAAACUUGCUUCUUGUCUACAAAAUAUGAGUUUCUCCUUAGGCAACGCCUUGGUCAGUAUGUCAGCACCAUUAUCAUUUGUAUGAUCUUUCUCAAGUGUCAAUAACUUGGAAUCCAAUACUUUUCGAAUCUAAUGAUACCUCACAUCAAUAUGUUUGGAUCAAGAGUGAAAUAAAGAGUUCUUACAUAAAUGAAUAGUGUUUUGACUGUCACAGUAAAGACUAUGCUUUUCUUGUUUCAUACCCAACUUCUAAAGAAAUUUCUGUAAUCAAAGAGUUUCCUUGCAUGCUUCAGUGGUUGCAAUGUACUCUACUUUAGUACUAGAAAGGGCGAUACACUUCUAUAAUUUACUUUGCCAUGACACUGCUCUUCUUGCAAAAAUUAUCAAGUACUCAGAUAUGGAUUUCCUAUUGUCAAGAUCGCUUGCCAUAUCUGCAUCGGUGUACCCGUCUAAUAUAGUUUUACCAUUGCCGAAACACAGACAUAAUCUAGAAGUUCCCUUGAGAUACCUGAAAAUCCAUUUGACAGCAUUCCAAUGCUCCUUACCUGGAUUAGAGAGAUACCGACUGACUACUCCAAUUGCAUGAGUAAUAUCUGGUCUAGUGCAAACCAUAGCAUAUAUUAAACUACCAACAGCCGAAGCAUAAGGAACCUUUUUCAUGUGUUCUUUAUCUUUCUCACUUGUAAGACACUGUUUGAUAUUCAGUUUAAAGUGAGCCGCAAGUGGAGUUGAAACUUCCUUAGUCUUGCUCAUGUUAAACAUGUUCAAUAUUUUCUCAUUGUACUUUUCUUGAGACAACCAAAGCUUCCCAUUUUGUCUAUCUCGUAAGAUUUUCAUCUCUAGUAUUUGUCUAACCAGACCCAAAUUUUUCAUUGCAAAAAUUUUAUUUAACUUCUUUUUCAACCUGUCAAUUUUUAUAGUAUCACGGCCAACAAUCAACAUGUCAUCAACAUACAGCAAGAGAAUAACAAAAUCACCAUCUGAAAAAUUUUUCACAUAAAUACAGUGAUCAAAUAUCUGUGGUACUUGUGGUCUAUCAUGAAGGAGUCAAAUUUCUUGUACCACUGUCUAGGUGUCUAUUUCAACCUAUAUAAGCUCUUCUUGAGACAGCAGACAAAAUUUUUCUUGUCACUUUCUUUAAACCCCUCCGGUUGCUCCAUGUAGAUCUGCUCUUCCAAGUCACCAUGCAGGAAGGCUGUCUUCACAUCAAGUUACUCGAUCUCCAAAUUUAGACCCGCUACAAUACCCAAAACAACUCGAAUUGACGACAUCUUUACCACAGGAGAGAAAAUUUCUUCAAAACCUACACCCUUUUUUUGGCUAAAUUCCUUCACAACCAAUCGUGCUUUGUACUUUGGUUAUGAGAUGUACUCCUGAAUUUCAACCUGUAAACUCAUUUGCUCUUCAGAAUUCUCUUACCCUUAGGCAGUUUCACUAAGUUAUAAGUAUGAUUAUCAUAUAGGGACAUCAUUUCCUCUUGCAUGGCUCGCAACCAAUUUUCUUUGUUCUCAUGCUCUAAAACCUCACAGUAGGACUUUGGCUCUCCUCCAUCCGUUAACAACAUAUAUUCAUGAGGAUUAUAUCUGCUAGAAGGUCUCCUCUGUGUGAUAGAUUUCCUAAGCUCAUCUUGUGGUGGCGGUGGUGGAAUAGGUGUCGCCUCAUGUUUAGGUUCAUCAGCAAUAAGAUUAUCAUCAUCAUUAACACCCUCUCUCUGCUCCAUCUCAGCUCCCCCUUGAUUAAAAUCAAUAGGUACUGGAAUUGGAUCUGGAUCUAAAUUUGAACUAGCAGAAAUGUUAUUUGAAUAUUUCGAGUUAUCACCUUUAUCAAUAUCUUUAAUGGUUUGAUCUUCAAAGAAAACAACAUCUCUGCUCCUAAUCACCUUCUUCGCAAUAGGAUCAUACAACUUAUAAUCAAAAUCUUCAUGUCUAUAAUCCAAGAAAAUGCAUUACUUUGAUUUUACAUUAAGUUUUGACCUCUCAUCUUUGGGAAUAUGAACAAAUGCCUGGCAACUAAAAACUCUCAAGUGCUUAAAAGAUAUAUCUUUUUCCGUCCAUACUCUCUCUGGGAAGUCACCAUCUAGAGGAACUGAUGGAGAAAGAUUAAUCAAAUCGAUCGCAGUCCUCAUUGUCUCACCGCAAAAUGAUUUUGACAACUUAGCAUUAGAGAGCAUACAUCUGACCUGUUCGGUAAUAGAUCUAUUCAUCCUCUCUACUAUUCCAUUUUGUUGAGGAGUUUUUGGUAUAGCCUUUUCCAAUCUGAUCCCACGGGACUUACAAUAGAUUUCAAAUGGUUCUCUGCACUCACCACCAUUAUCAGUACGAAUACAUUUUAACUACUUGUCAGUUUCUCUUUCAACUUUGCUAUGAAAAUCUUUAAAUACAUUCAAAACAUGAUCUUUGGAUUUUAAAGCAAAACACCAGAUCUUUUUAGCAAAGUUAUCAAUAAAAGUUACAAAAUAAAUAGCACCACCAAGAGACUUAUCUUUCAUAUAGCAAAUAUCAGUAUGCACUAAUUCUAACGGAUUCAAUUUUCUAGAUGGAGAAAAAUUUUGAAAUACAACUCUGUGUUGUUUCCCAUAAAUGCAGUCAACACAGAGUUUAAGUGCAUUACCUCUAACUUCAGGUAUGAGUUAUUUGCGAACAAAUGUCUGAAUCCCUUUUUCACCCAUGUGCCCAAGUCUCCUAUGCCAAAGGUCAAUUGAUGAAUCACGAAUUGCAUUCACUUCUCCCUUUCCCAACUUAGUUUGCAUCAAGUAGAGGAUACUCUGUUUCUUUCCUCUAGCAACAACGAGAUUUCCUUUGCUGAGUUUUCAUUUGCCUCCACCUUACAAGCUAUGGUAACCCUCAUCGUCAAGUUUUCCUAUAGAAAUAAAAUUAAGGCGAAUAUCAAGGACAUGUCGAGCAUUUCUUAAUAUCAAUUGGCAUCCGGUAUUUGUAUCCAAAUAUGUGUCUUCCAUGCCAACAACUUUGCAUGAGACCUCAUUUUCCAUCCUAACAUAUCCAAAAUCUCCUUUGGUGUAGGUUGAGAAGAAAUGUCUGUGAGGAAUAACAUGAUAGGAUGCACCCAAAUCAACUACCCAAUCAUUGUCAUAAUAAAUAAUAUUUACCUGACCAUCAUCACAGAACACAAACAUAUCAUCAUGAGCUGCCACAACUAAUGUAGUCUUUUCAUCACUUUUUUCCUUCGCCUUACCCUUUUUCUCAGCUUGUUCCCGUUUUAGGAUUCUGCACUCCUUCAUAUAAUAUCCAUAUUUUUUACAACAAUAGCAUGCAAUAUUUUUCCGCGACUCAAACCUGCCUCUGAAUUUGUCAUUCCUGUUAUGGGGUUCUCUACUUUUGCUUCUCCUUCUUCUUUUUUUCUUUUCUGUCUCCAGGCCUGGGACUCAAAGACAAUUCCUUGUUCGUUCUUCCUGAACUCUUCAGUCAUCACGGCCUUUUUUGCAAUAGCCAUGGUCAACACAUCAUUCGGAACUGAAUUGCUGACGGAGACCAUCAUGGUUUCCCAACUAUUCGGUAGUGAACUAAAUAAUAAUAGAGCCUGCACUUCAUCAUCCAAAGGUAAAAGUACUCCAUUUCUUUUAGUAUUUAGUUCAUUAAAGAAAGUAAAUAAGUAGAGCAGUAAACUUUUUUGUAGAAGCACUUAGGAUGCGCAUGUAAGAGGAUACAGCUUGUCUUCCUCUGCUUAAAAACUGUUGAAACUCUUUCUCACAGGAUACAAAAUACCUAAAGGAUGGAAAGUAAUCUACUGGUUACGAUACAUUCAUACAGAUCCAAAAAAUUUUGAAGAUCCAUUGUGUUUCAAUACAGAUAGAUAGAACGUAAGCACAAAUAUUAUUUGCACUUGUAUUGAGAAGACGAAUUUUGGGUUAUACAUUGAUCAACUGUUAGAUAUUUCCUUGAUCAGGAACAACCAAAGCCUGGGACAUUCUUGGUCUUCGGUGGGGGAUCAAAGAUUUGUCUAGGAAAUAUGCUUGCUCGAAUGCAGGUUGCUAUUUUUAUCCACCACCUAGUUGUAGGAUACAGGCGAAAUUUCUAAGUGCCACUAUACCUUUUUUUUUUUUUUUGGAGUCACAUCUUUUAUUCAUGAUGAUAUAUAUAUUAGCGAAUAUAGAUGCAUACUACAUAUACAAAAUUUAGUUAAAUUGAGAUAAUAUAAUAUGCAUCUAAACCCGUCGGUAUACACACUAAGAGGGUGUUUGGUAAAAGAGUAUCGGAAUGAGGGAAUGAAAUAAACUCCAUAGUUGGUGUUUGGUUCACUGGAAUGGGAAUUGAAAUCUUGGAAUGAUUUCUAAAAACUUGGCAUCCCUCCAUUCCUUAGUAAAAAGGUGGGUGUUGUUCAAAAUCCAAGUGUGAUUCCAAAAUCUUUACCGAUUACAUAAUAUUUAGUAUAAUUAAUAUUUAUAUAUAUUAUAUAUAUUAGAUAUAUUAUAAUAUAUACAUAAUUAUAAUAUUUUAUUAUAAUAUUAGUAUAUUAUAUAAAUAUAUAUUAUAAUUAUUUAGUUAAAUAUAAUUAUAUUUAUAUAAUAUAUAUUAUAAAUUUAUUGAUAUUAUAUAAUAAUAUAUCCAUAAUACAUGUAUAUUUAUAAAUGCAUAUUAUAUGUGCAUAUAAUUAUAAUAUAAACAUGUAUAUAAUAUUAAUAAAUUAUAUAAUGAUAAUUAUAUUUAUUAUUUUAAAUAUAAUAAUAUAUAAUAAUUACUAUAUCUAAUAUUUAUAUGCAUUAUAUUUAUAUAAAAUAUUAGUACAAUUAAUAUUUAUAUAUUAUAUAUUUAUAUUAUAACAUUUGUAUAAUUAUAAUUAAUUAUAUAUAUAAUAUUUAAUUUAAUUAGUUACAAACUAAUAAUAAUGAUAGUAUUAUAUUAUAUAAUUAUAUAUUAUAAUUAUACUUAUAUAAUAUAUAUUAUAAGUUUGUUAAUAUUAUAUAAUAUUAUGUUUAUAAUAUAUAUGUAUAUUUAAAAAUGUAUAUUAUAUAUGCAUAUAAUUAUAAUAUAUACAUGUCUGUAAUAUUAAAAGGUUAUAUAAUUAUAAUUUUAAUUUUAAUUUUAAAUAUAUUAAUAUAUAAUAAUAACUAUAUUUAAUAUGUAAUAUAUAUUAUAUUUAUAUAAAAUAUUAGUAUUAUUAAUAUUUGUAUAUAUUAUAUAAUUAUAUUUAUAUUAUAACAUUUGUAUAUUUAUAUUUAAUUAUAUAUAUAAUAUUUAAUUUAAUUAGUUACAAACUUAUAAUAAUAAUAUUAUUAGCUAUAUGUAUUAUAUAAUGUACAUUAAUUUAUGUAAUAUAAUUAAUAUUAUCAAUUAUACUAAUAAUUAUACAUGUUUACUAAUAGAAUUUAUUAAUUAGUUAGACUAAAUUUACUAAUAUAUUUAUACUAAUAUAUUUAAUUAGUGAAAAUUUCUUAUAUCUUAUUUACAAAGAGCCAAUAACUAUCAUUUACGAUAUGGUUUAUAAUAUAUUUAUUAUAUUCCAUUCCGAAAGAGUCGACGAAUCAAACAUCAACUAUAGUAAUGAUACGCAUUCCAGGUACUUGAACCAAACAAAUAUAUUAGAAUGAAUGACCUCAUUCCAAACCCAAAAUAUCCGAUUCCGAAUCCGAAUCCGAUUCCGAUGUGCGAACCAAACGCCACCUAAAGUUGUAGGAAAGAUUUUUUUUUUUUCUUGAUAACACCGAUUUUUUCUUUCUUUCCAAAGGAGAAAGAGAAAAGCAUAAAUUCAAAAUCCAGAAAUUAUUAUUUAUUAAGCAAAUAAAGUCCCACAAUAGUGUAACUUUGUUUGCUUAUGCCAUACUGAUAAACAAAUUUUCAGGUGGGAACUAGUUAAUGCUGAUGCAGAAAUUAGUUAUCUCCUGCAUCCAAGACCAAUUGAUGGGGUUGAGAUUAACAUAAGCAGAAUCUAAUAGAAAAAGAAGCCCGCUGUUCUAUUUUGUGCCUCUUGAUCUUGUUUGGAGUUUGUGCCUUUUCUUCUUCUUUUUUUUUUUUUUGGGUACAUUUUCUGUUGAUCUAGCAAAAUCAUAAUGUGAUAACUACUUGCAACAAGUUUGAAACUUAUUCAUCUAAUAUAUGGUAUAUCUAUGUAAUAAGUUUGUUAAGUUGAUUGUCCAAAGUAAAUGUUUACUUAAAAAAUUAUUGGUACAAGUGUUUAGAGAACAAGAGUUUGAGGACAUGUGGGCACCAAGUUGCUUUAAGUAAUGGAUCCGAAAGUGAAACCUGAAUGCUGUUUACUUAUACAUGUAACAAAAUUUAGACGGCUAUAUUAUAUUUCUUGGUGACAUAAAGAGCAAUACUGUGACAAAAUCACAAUCUCCUCAGCAUCAUUUUUUCUAUCAAAAGAUCUUCUGUUACAAUUUUUUCUAUUACGCUUUCAUUACACUAUUAAUUCUACUAACAUGUGUUUCUUGCAAUAAUGUAUAAGAAUUCAAAUUUUAUAAUAUCUCUAUUGGUGGCCAGGACACUUGCUUCCUUUUGAGAAGUUGUGUAACAUAAUGUACCGUGAAAUUUGUAACAGAGGCUCCUAAGUCCAUAUUUUAAUCAAGUGCAAAAUUUAUCACUAUAUAUAUUUAUAGCUGCAAGUAUGUUAAGUAUUCAACCAAUUCAGUUAGAUUAAGGAAAGAGAAAAGGAAAAUAAUCUAAUUGCAGGAGUAUAUGGAAGUGACAGGGGGAGAGUCGUUGAUGACAGCGGUAGGGAUUCUAGUUGUGGUCGUGGAAUUACAUCCGGUACGCUCUUCCAGCAACUAUCUGGUGUUCCGCCCGUGGCACCAAGCUUCCUCCUGGCUAUACGGGGCUCCCAUUUAUUUGGAAAAUGCUCCAUUUUCUUUAUUACUUCAAGGUUCUUCGACGCCCGGAUGACUACAUUAAUGGUAAAAAAGAAAAGUAAGAUUAAUUUGCUCUUUCUUUCCACUUAAAAACACAUAAAACAUCAAACACAAAUGCCAUACGCAACCACAUUGAUGAGCCUAAUUAAGGUAUAUACACGUACUGAUUUUGUUUAAAUUAUGGGACUUGUACAAUUAAUUCAAUUCCAAAAUUAUGGGACGAUUUAGAUGACCCUUUUAUUUUUUAAAAAAAGAUUAAAAAAACAAUAUCAUUUCCCCAUUUGGAUGUAGAAAUUGAAUUAAGUUUUGAAGCAAUCAAAACUAGGCUUAUUAUUUUGUUGUGUUAUAUCAUCUUUGACAACAUGGGCAAGUAUCUUGCGGGGUUUGAGCCAAGUCCCCAUUUGGAUGUUCUUGAUCAGCUGUUUAAUGGUAUUCUCAAAGAAAUAAAAAAUUUUCCGCUCAAUUUUCCGGGGACUGCUUAUCGCCAUGCCCUCCAGGCCUGCCUGCAUCCUACUAUAAUUAUGGAUUUUGAUUUUGUGUCAGCUAUUUUGAUCUUAUUUUUUUUAAUCAAAAUUCAGAAACUCUAAAGACGAAAAGGAAAGCUACAAUUUAAUCCUUCAUGUUCUGCACAAUUAAAUUCUUGAAGCUCCAUGUCAAAGUUCUUCUCUUUUUUCUUUUUUGGAUAAUUCUCAUCUUCUCCAACCUCUAAACUUCGCUCUUUCCUUUCUUUUUCUUUUUUAUUUUUUUGGAUAGAAGAUCAAAAGAUCUCAUCUACCCUCCCACUCCGCCCCAUCCACUCUACCCCUUCACCACCACCUCAUUUUUUCCCAUAGACUUUGUCCAAAUGAACAAGGCGCCGUUUGAAUUAACUAUUUUUUGAGGUGUUUUUGAAAUAUUUUACCGUAGUAGUGUAUACGAAAAAUUUUUAUUAUAGAUAUUUUUUGUAAUAUUUUUGGAAUAUAUUUUAGGGUACCUUUUAAAAUAAAAAUAUUUUUAGUGUACUUUUUAAAAAUUAAAACUAUCACUUACAACUACCACCGCCACCACCCCUCUCUCUCCUCCUUCUCCUCCCCCCCCCCCUUCUUCCUUCUCUUCCUCCUCCUCCCUCUUCCUCGUUUAGAUCAACGGGGGGAGGGGAGGGCUAGGGGAUAGGGGUAAAGGGGAGGAGAGGAGGAAGAGGGAAGAGAAAGAGGUAGGAGGAAGAAGAGAGAAGGGGAGGAAAAAUGAGGAGAGAAGGGGUGGUGGCAGAAGUGGGUGGGGGUCGUGGUGGUGAUAGGUGGAAAAUAUUGUAGAAUUUAUUUUUUUAUUUUUUGUAUAUAUUUGUGAGUUGUUUUUGAUACAUUACAUAGAUGAGAUGUUUUUUGAGUUAUUUUUGUUUGUGUAUUAUUGUAUCAUUGUAUUUGAAAAACUAAUUUUUGAAAAAUAGGCCAAUUCUAACGGAACCUGGAUUUUUUCGUCAGAUUUGCACCAAAAUCUUCAUCCAAAUGAACGGAUCUCUUCAUCAAAUCUGCACUAAAAUUGACAACAUUAUAUCCCUGUGACUUGUUGCAAAGCUGCCCUUUUAUUGGUUUUUUGUGGUGUGCAUGAGGAACAUAAGGCAUAUAGAUAAAUAAAUAAGAAAAUAAAUCAUGAAAAUAAAAAGACUUACAGUAUAAAAGGAAGGAAAAAUUGAUGAGUGAAAAACUUCAUAUAAAUAAAGAAAUGGAAAAAUAAAAAAUAUAGCAUAAAGAAAAGAAAAAUAUUUUGAUACAAGAAACAAAUAAUAUGUAAAUAUAAAUCACAAAUAGUACAAAUAAUCACAUUUGAAAGAGAUGAGAGAAUUUCAGCAUGUAAAUAAAAUUCAAAAAAUUUAAGGAAUUUCAUAGUAUAAAGGGAACAAAACUUAAUAAAAAUUGAAACUUAAUAUCUAAAUAAAGACCGCUGUGGCACUUAAUUAAAAAAAAUCUAAAUAAAGAAGUAUUGAAUGGAAAAACAAAUUUUUAUGACUAAAAAAUUUAAUAUCUAAAUAAUAAUUUGAUAAGAUGCAAAUUAAUCAGAGUAUAAAUGCAACAAAAAAAUUGAUGAGAAACCAAUAAUAUUUAAAAAAUAAGAAAAAUAAAACACUUGUAGUAUAAAGGAAGGAAAAAGUUGAUGACUAAAAACAAUUAAAAAUCAAUGAAAGGAUUAAUAAAAUAAAAAUGUCAUAAUAGUGUCGCAAGGAAAAGAUGUUGAGACUAUUUGAAGGGAUGGAUUAUCCAAAAUUUUUGACAAUCAAAAUGGAAUAUUUUUCUCCAUGCAAAGCGUAUAUUAUUUGGAUUAAUGGGGGCAACGCACAAGGUCCACAUUUUGGGAGCAAUCUGUAAUUCAACCCAAGUAAUAAUGCAAUAUUGAAUUCUUUCAUCAUUUAGGCAAGAGUCAUAGUUAUAACAAGUUUACAGCCAAGCAGAUUAACAUUUACUUUUGGAAUCAUCAAGUCAUUCACUGGUUUUGGUACUUUAUAAUAUAAUCCUCCCAUGGUUUAAAAACCUACACAUAUCCUCUCAUGAUUUGAAUUAAAGUGUCACCGUUAGUUUUUCUAUUAAAACUAACCGUCAAUGAUAAAAAGUCAAAGUCAAACUAAUAAAUUGAUAAGUUCACUAUUUCACUACUUUUUUUGCUUUUUUUUUUCCUUUCUCUCUCUCUUUCUCCCUCUCUUUGGGAAAAAAAGAGAUGAUUUGAAAACCUAUAUUUUGACCUAUAAAAUCUUAAUUUUCUCUAAAUACAAAAGAGAUGGAAGGAAAAUAAAAAAUAAAUAAUUAAGAAACAAAAAAGACGGAAGGGAAAUAUAAAACAAAUAAAUAAGAAAAAAAUACCAAAUCUUUUGACUACAAAUAUCAUUAUAGGUUUUUAACCCAAAUCUUUAAUGGUAUUUACUAGUUCUUAUUUAUCAAUUUUUAUAAUUCAAUUUCUUCUUUUUAUGUUUGGAGGAAAAAAAAGAAGUAAUGAAAGGGUACAUUUAUCAAUUUAUUAGUUUCACUUUGAUUUUUUGACUAUUAAUCAUUAGUUUUAGCGAAAAAUUAACAAUGACACAUUAAUCCAAAUCAUAAUGGAGUUAUAUAAAUAUAUAUAUUUUAAACGAUAGUAGAAUUAUGUGUUAAAAUCAUAUAAGGGUAAAAGGUAAUUUACCCAACAAUAAACGAUGGUCCACCAUCUAUUUUUCAACCAUCACCGUAUUCAUGUCCAUCACAUAGCUUUCUCGUGCUUUGUCAAUUACGUUCUCUAAUUGAAAUUAUUCAUUUUUUACAUCAAUAUCACAAAUUCAUACAUUAAAUCAUCCCAAUUUGUAGAUGCACAUUAUUCUUUUUUUAUGUUUGUAAAAGUAUUUUCUCCGAUACUAAUGUACCAUAGUAGAAUCAAUUCAAGUCAUCGAUCCAUUCGACAUAUCAUUGGUCCUGACAUUCAAUUUAGAAAAAGUAAAAAAAAAAGAAAAAAAAGAAAAGGGGUACACUGUACACGGUUCGGAGUGCAGUACUAGUUCAUUUUAUUCACACCACGUCAAAAGAGAAGGAAACAUUGGACUUGGUUUAGACUUGAUUGAUAAUUUAUAAUUUUUUUUUAGAUAUUUUCCAACCAAUAUUCACCCAUUCAGUCCAUUUGCCACACAUAGACUAAGCCUAUUCUCUAAAGAAAAAUUAAAAAAAUGGGGAUAAAUCUUAUUGAAAAAUAAUAUAUACAUGUCAGUUUUUGUUUCACGCACUUUUUUAUAUCGUAAAAAGCAGUCUUUUGAGUCUUUUGAACUAUUAAAAAAAAAAAAAGAGAGAGAGAGAAGGUGUAUGAACCCAAAAGUACUGAAGUCCAAAACUCAUUUCCCAAAAGUUUUUUUUAUGCAUCAUUAGCCUAUACUCUUUGAGAAACAAACAAUUGUUUUGUUAACCACACUUAAAAAAAUGAAAAAAAAAAAAAAGAACCUUCAGAAAGACUAUACACUUUUUAUUAAAUGUUUUGGAACUCCUUUUUAAUCAAACAUUACAGGUAUUUAUUGUUUUCUGGAGGGAAGGAAAGUGCAAAACUCAUUUUCCAAAAGUUUUUUUUUUAUGCAUCAUUAGUCCACACUCUUUGAGAAACAAACAAUUGUUUUGUCAACCACACUUAAAAAAUGAAGAUAAAAAAGAACCUUCAGAAAGACUAUACACUUCUUAUUAAAUGUUUUGGGAAUCCUUUUUAAUCAAAUAUUAUAGGUAUUUAUAUUUUUUUGGAGGGAGGGAUGUAUUGAGUGGUUCGGAGAGAUAAAGUGUAAGUAAGUAGUUUCGAAUUUGAACUCUCCAACUUACACUAUUAAAAAAAAAUGAUAUUUGCAGUUUUCAAGAAAUUGGGCAUGCAAAAUAAAUUCUUUAAACAUUCUAUAUUUAUAUUCAAUUCUUAUUAAUUCUUUAUAUCCUAACAGGGGGUUUGAUCCGCCGGGAUUUGAUAAGUCAAACAAUACAGGUAACAAGGUGAAUGCACAAGUUACCUUCUUUGCUUCUUCAUAUGCUACAAUUCUGACCCUUUGUGCCCAGGAUCGGAGGGCACUAAUGAUGCGGGCUGGACCAUAAGGGCCACCCUGUGGGGAGCAUCAGGCUUAUUGAUGGCUUUUACGACAAAGUUUUUGAGCCUAGCAUGUUCUGCGCCUUGACAUCCAAUAAUGGAAUCAGUGCCUAAAAGUUCAGCAAAAGGCCAUUGUUGGCUGAAUAGAGCAGGUGAUUGCAAAACAAGUUUGUUCAGUGAUGGGAAGCAAGCAUGGACGGUGCACCCAAGAGGCGAGUUCUGAACAUUCCUGCAUCGCCAUACCUGAUAAUAAUCACAUUUUUCAAAACGAAAUUCUGUUGAUUACAGCUUCAUCGAGGCGAGUCAAAGUUAUUUCCAUUUUGAGACUGUUUCUACUUUAGCUUUGAUUUAACCAAAAAAAUAUAUAUAUAUAUACUAGCAUAGUCAAUUAAAUUCGGGUUGUUGUAACAAAAUGAGUAAAAAAUAAAAUAAAAUCUGACGGCAUCCCCCUCCCAUUCUCUGAAAGAGCAUAGUGUUAAUAAUGUUAAUAAGUGAAAAAACAUUGGCAACAAAUGUGUAAAUUUGUCUAAUGGGUGAUCACCGGACACUUUUGAAGGGGAUCAAUAAGUGUUAUGUAUUUGCUAGAAACGAGGAGAAACGGAAAUCGAGAGAAAGUUUCUCAGGUUAGCUAUCAAAUUUGAUGAAGAUAAGGAGAAACAAAAUCUUACUUUUUUUCCUUGCAAUCAAUGAAUUCAUCAGGACAUUUUAGGAACUUGAAGUACCAGAGAAACGUGCACAUUUCUCCCAAGAAUGGAAUGCCCAUGUAACCAGCUGGAAGCUCUGUGCCAUCGGCAACGCCCCGAAGCCUAACGGGAAUAGCAAACCAGAUGUCAUUCCAAAACCAUAAGAGCACUCCCACUAUUGGUAAAAUUCCAACCAUUAAAGCCAUCCGCACUUCCAUUGUCAUAUUUCCCAUUUUAUUCUCCUAUCGGCUGCAUCAUCCUUUACUUACUUUUGUUUUUAUAGUAGGAUUACAAGGUCACUACCAUACAGAGAGACGAACCAGUUGCAAUCUCCAAAAGUUGCCUUGUGAUUGCACCACAAAGUGUUGUAUCUUCUAUCAGACAAAGAAUAUUGUUAGGACUCGGGACAACCGCACGACACCAACUGCAGGGGAACUAAUAAAGGAUAAGGCAAUGAUUGAUGAUGUUUAGCCAUUAAGCUAUACGUAUAAUUUAUAUUUCUUAUACUAACAGAUCUUUUUAAGCUAAUAAGGGUUCAAGUUUAUGACAUAUAAUAUAUUAGGCACUAAAACGAGACUGUUUUCGGUCAUUUAAAGUAAUCACUCGACUUCUGAGAUUGCAUAUAUUAGUUAUUCCAUCUAGUUUUCAUGCUAAAUGAAACAAGGAUGACCUAAUUCAUUGGAAUGACCAAAAGCAUGUCACUAGCUCGUGAGAUAUACUUGUCGAAUACCUGCAUUAUAGAGGUAAAAAUUUGCGUUUCAUCUAUGAUCUUUAAUUUUUAAUAGAAUAUUACGUGAAUGGAAGGAAUUAGUACAGUUAACUUUCUAUUCAUAACUCCACCCUAUAGAGCCUUGACUUCAGUGUAAUUUUUGAUAAUUCACUCGGUCAUUGUUCUUUGCAGGUGAACCAGGUACAGGAUUUGUAAGUUCAUGGGAUUUUUAAUAUAUAUUGUUUUCUUGUAAAAUGCCUAGAAUUUGCAAGUUCUUGGGAUUUUACUGACAAAGACGUUAGAUUGGCACGUCUCCAUCCUAAAUUAGCACUUUUUAUAUUGUAAUUUUGUGGCACAUAUUCGAUAACUUCUACCAUGGAUACAAAAAUUUUGUAAAUAGUGCAAAUUUAGGACGAAGCGGCAUGUAUUUAGACUUCAUUUUCUGUAAGUUGCAGAUUAAUCGGUUUUUAGAAGCCAUUAGGAAAUAGUGUGAUUUUUAAAUUCUUCUUAUUAGCAAAUGAGUUGCUACAAAACUGCAAGAAAAAUCUUGUCUUCACAAGAAUAAUGAAUUUAAAUAUGUUCAAUGUCAUUAGAUAAGUAAUUUUUGAUCUCGUCCUCCCUCUUUACCUACCUGCAACUCCUUCAUCUACUUACUAGUCUAUGCACUUUUAUGCAUUUUUAAUUUAGCAAUAUAUAUAUAUAUAUAUAUAUAUAUAUAUAUGCAUAUCACCUCCUAUACUUGGUCUCACACUUCCAACAUUCCAUUGCAUAAGUAGGCUAAUAUGUUCUUUAGCCUCGCCUAUAGCUACCACCACAAUCACCAGCUGCUGCCAAUUUCUUAUAGAGCCCUCUAAGAAGAAUCCUUUCAAACCUAAUCAAUCAAUCAAAUAUUAUUCGAGCUGAUUAUAUAACAAAAAAUCUUGCAAAAGUAUUUAUAAAAUGAGACCCAUGCGAAAGAUUUUACACCUUUAACAGUUUUGUCCACGGCGUUGCGGCCAUUCUCCAAUCAAUCAACAUACCGGCCCUGAGGCUUUUUAACAAUUGCAGGAAGCUCCCCUUAAAUUCUAGAAAUUACACUUACCUCUCUUGUUUUCACUAUUUAAGUAAUAUAUAGGCCCAAAAGACUAGGGUUUUUCUCAAAAACCACAGAAGCCCCCUAGGUUAUAAUUCACAACAAAAAUAAAAAGGAUAAAUAUGAUUUAGUAUCUCGAUUUCAUUCAUCAUUGCUUGUUCUUACUUGUAUCUACCCAUCAACAUCUAAAGUAUCAUUAAGUAAACACUCACAUUUGUUUCAAAGUUCCUCUUUUACCUAAAAACUCCAAAGCAAAUCAUUGAAUUAACUAAAAAUGCAGUCAAAUUUUACUUAAACACCUAGCAACACUAUAUUCAUCAAUAUCUCUAAAUCCAAUUUCAUGAUUUUCACCUUUCUAAUACAAGUCAUCACCAAUAAUACCAUCACCUAAUACCAUCACCAAUAAUUGCAAAUAAAAAAUAGAAACACAUUGUAGUUAUAGGGGUAAAAUACAUUGAAGCCCCCUAUGGCUUGUCUAUUGCAUACAAAACUCCCUCAUUAUUUAAAAACAUCCACAUAACCUCCUUAUACUUUGGACUUCUUUGGAAAAUAGAUGGAAAUCAUCCAAUUUAACAGAAGUGAGUUACAAGCAACGAGUGAGUGUGGUAGCAUUGCAUGACAAAUAAUUGGGUAAUUCUACGUUUCAUUUUUUAAAAGUUUUUCCUCUCUCUUUUUUUCCGCUUCUUCUCUUCUCUUUUUUUGGCUUUCUCCCCAACCGCCUGUGCAACAAACAUUUUUCCUCUCUUUUUAUUUUUUUUCUUCUCUUCUUUUCCCCUUCUCUUCAGCUGCCUGUGCAGCAAACCAAAAAGCAAACUAGAAACUCCUUUGGUGAUAUUGCUUUUUUGUUUCGCUCUUUUCUUCUCUAUUUUUUUUCCUUUCGUCGCUACUGACGCCAUUGCCACUGCCACUUCGCCAGCCAUUGCUACCACGGUUGCCAAACACCACCAUCUGCCACUGAAACCCAAGAGACAUAAAUAGACAAGUAAAAGGGGGAAAAUGAAGCAAAAACCCUAAAUCUCCUCCAUCUCCUCCUUUGAACCUCUCAAUCAUUGCGAUGAAGUUUCAAAUUCAAUAAUGUCAGAGAGUUACAUGAAUAAUGGAGACCAAGCUCUACGAACCACUGAUAAAAUUGAAUGAAGAUGGACUGAUUUAUUAUAUCAAGAUAGACUAAGUUGGCAGUGGGAGUGCCCAAAUUUUUGGGAAUUCUCUGGGUAGCAACAUCCACCCAGAUUCCGUCAGUUGUUGUAGUAGAUUUUAGUGAUGAAGAUUGAGUAGAGGAAGAAAAGAAAAGGAAGGAGUGAGAUUUCUCUUCUAUUCAACAAUCAAGAGAGAAAUGCAAUUUUGAUACCCAAAUUUUGACACAUGAAUAGUUUUAGUUCCAAAAUUUUGGACAAAAGCAAAUCUGACACCCAUUGUUUCAACUUUUGAGCACAUUUAGUACCUUUGACGGAUUUUUUCUAAAUUGCAACUGAAAAGAGUCAUGUGAUAGUCACAUAUUCACUAACUAUUGUAUAAAAAAAAUACCAAAAAAUGUUAAAUAUUUUUUUGGCAUUUUUUAUAAAAUAGUUAUCGGACAUGUAAUUAUUACAUAACUUUUUUCAGUUGCAAUUUGGGAUUAAAUCGUCAAAGGUAUUAAAUGUGCUCAAAAGUUGAAAGAUUGGGUAUCAGAAUUAUUUUUGUCCAAAGUUUGAGAACUAAAAUCACUCAUGUAUCAAAGUUUGGAUAUCAAAACUGCAUAUUUCUCAACAAUCAAUGUUGGAGAAGACGACAUCUUUUUAUAAUUUUAAUUUAGCCCCUCAAUUUACUUUUUGUUCUCAAAUAAAUUAAGAAAGUAAGUAAAAUUUCAAUUGAACCAUAUACUAACUAUUGGUACGGAUCGAAAACAAGGUUAGUAUAGGAAUUUUAAAUCUUUCCAUUAAAUUGGAUGAUUUCCAUUCAUUUCCCAAAGAAGUCCAAAGUAUAGAGGAGUUAUGUGGGUGUUUUUAAACAAUAAAGAGGUUUCAUGUACAAUAGGCAAAUCACAAAAGGGGUUUACUAUAUUUUACCCUAGUUAUAAACAUACCAGGAACAUUCUUUCCUAUAACAAACAUAAUAGUAUAAUCUUUUAUGUAGUCCCUCUUCCAUGUCCCACCUUUAAUUUAUUAUUUUUUAUCACUACUAGUAUUAUCAAUUCUUCAUCUCCAUCUAGUGUGACAAUGAAAUUAUCACUUCAUUUAAUAAUAAUUUCAUUUUGCUAAUACUUGCAAAAAAUUGAAAACAAAAAUGAGCGCAAAAGAGCAAUUUAUUAGUAUUGAAAGAUAAAGAAUUGUGAAUAGACACCAAUAUAGAUAAAAAAAAAAAACUGAUUAUCCGGUGAGCUUUCAUUCAUAUUUUCUUCCCAUUGGUAGCUUAGAUUUGAUAGUUUUAGUUUGUCGAGAGUCUAAAUAAUAGAGAAACUUUAGUUGUAUCGGUAGUUGUCCGUCUUCCUUGUAGAUUCGACUCUAAUUACCCUAUACUUACUCACGACCUGUAUACUUGCGAAAAUUCGUGUAUGGAGUAAUUUAGGAAAUUAUAAAUAUAAAACUUGAUUGUGGAUUGAUUUUUAUUGUUAUAUACACACCCCACGCAUGUCAAUUCUUAAAAACAUAAUACAAAUGUCAUGGUAACACUGGCAAAAGGCAAUUGCAACACUUCUUGCAUUAUGUCUGUAUAAAGCACAAUAUUCAGUAGUUUGAAAUUUCAUAAAUUUCAUCAUUUUCCGCAUUUUUAGGAUUUUCAGCAUUCUAGUCAUUUCAGUUGCCUAAGACAUCCUAUUAAGCGUAAAACAUCUCUGCCUUGAAGUGAUCUAUACAGGUUGAAAGGACGAUGGGACUGUUUUUGAAUGCAAAGGAACUCCUGAAGAACCUUUUGAGUAUAUAUGUUUAGAAGGUGAUAUUAAUUCCAGUGCCAGUCAUUUAAUUGUUUUUCCCUAAUCUCCUGCUGUCAAAGUUAUCCUGAAAGUUAUGUUUUGUAUCCAAUCAAAUUCUUAGACCUCCUUUUUUCACUCCGCAGAUCAGUUAAAUGAAGGUUUGGACAGGUACAUACAUGAAAUAGAUUUAAAUCCUUUACCAUGUAACCUGGUAUCCAAGUGCAAAUCCAUUCAGACCAAAAUGUUAUAGAUUUAAAUCCAACCAAAAUGUUAUAGACCAAAACUGUAGCAGUUCGUUCGACAAUGUGUCAUCUUUUACAUAGUAUCUAGGACAAGGCGAAAUGUAGGUAAUGCAUCACUUUAGAUGUUUGGUUGUUGACGCAGGUUAAACAGAGCCAGUUACUAUAUCAGGGAAAUUAAAUAGCAAUCUCAAAAAGUAGUAUCCGCUAGCAUUGACAGCUAGAUAAAAAGAAACUGGAUUAAAUUCUAUUCAAGAAAGUCAUCCUCAAAUAUAUAGGUCCUUGCCUGGAAUCAGGAAUUUAAGUUAGCAAUGUAAAAUAGAAAAUUGAGAUCAAAGACAGGUGCAAAUUUCAUCAUGCAGGAUAUUACCUAUUUAAAGAGAUCCAAUUGAUUAGUCUGUUUGAGAUCAUCUUUUUGCCACCUGAUCAGAGGAAUCAAUCAGAUUCAGGCUAGGCAGAUAAGUUCAGUAUAAUUUGAUCAAAGGGUAUAGAGGCUAUGGCCGUUUGGUUUGAAGCUGGCGUGCAGAUCAAUAACCCAACCCCUACCACCUAUAAGUUGUUUAAAGACCAAAUAGGCGCCACAAUAACCAGUUUAAAAUUUCAAGUUGUUUGCCAAAUUACUAUUUCGUGUAUGUACCUGAAGAGAGAACAAUUCAAUCAUUGCAACUAAAUGAUUCUACAAGUAUGUAGCUUCACAAUCAAGAUGCACUUGCUUGCUUUCAUCUCCUACAAAUUUGGCGCCAAGAUAUAUAGAUCAUUCUUUGUCGAAAAAUAGUGACGAGGAUGUGAAAUAAAAAAAUAGACUAAGAUAUGCCAGUAAACUUGGAAAACUGAUAAUUAUCUGAUCUCAUCGCUCCUUUUUAAGAGUGAGAGUUCUACUUUCUAGUUUCUAGAGAAACCAUUUUCAAAGAUGGACACAACAGAAAAGUUGGAAGCUUGUCAAAGAAAGAAGAGUAAUGGGAAUGCACCAUUCAAAGCUGGGAGAUUCGAGCUUGCAUCGAAGAAGUAUGGAAAGGAAUGUAAUUUUCAUGAGGAUAAUAGCAGGCGCUUAGAUUUCUCUAAUAGAUAUAUGCUUCAUCAAUGAAAUUAGAAAUCAAUCGUUAAUAACUUUGAGGAGAAUAUUCCUCGAAAGUAAAUUUCUUUCCCACUUCACAUAAUGCAGGCUUCAAAAUACAUUGAGUUCGAUCACUCUUUCAAUGAUGAUGAAAAGUCCUUAGAAAGUUCUUUACUGUCGUCGUGCAGUUUAAACAAUGCUGCUUGCAACUAAAACUUGAAAAAUAUUUCAAGGCUUCAAGGCUUUUCACCAAGGUUAGUUUUCUUGAACUUUCUACAUACCAGUUUUAUUUUGUCCCAUCCAUUUGUCUUCUGUAUUUAUCUAUGGCUAUCUGUCAUAUCUACUUGCAGCUAGGAUCAGGGGUGCUUAUAACCUGGGACAACUUCUUGAAUGUAGACUGAUUGAAAAAUGUGUUCCAUGGACAAAGAUGACUUAAUGUAGCAUUUUAUGAUGGAUUAAUUCUAUAAUGGAUAAAGUGCAAACAUCAAUUGAUUACUUUGGUGCCUACAACAUGUUUAGAAUGACUAAGUUUGCAAGGAAAGCUAUAAUCUGCUAUAAUAUGCGUUUCUGAAAGCGCUGAUACAGCCCAUUUCAAACAUACAUGCUGACCUUCAACUGAAGUGAUAUGUUCCAAUUCUUAUAGCACGUCUGUGGAAAACUAGAACAAGAUCAAAUCCAUGGAGAUAUGAUGACACGUCUCGUUUCUUUUUCUUCUAAAUGAGUUCAUUGAUGCAUUUGUUUCUAGCUUUCCCCAUGUGGUUGGCUAGCAUAUAUAACCUUUGAGCAAGGAUAUGAAGUGCUAUUCCUUUGAAGGUUGUACACUGAUAAAGACCCCGGAAGACCAUCGCUUAUGCCCCAAUAAUUCACAUUUCAUAAUCUGAUUCUUUGAUUCUAUCAUUUUUCUUGAGAAAACAAAACGCAAAUUGGUAGUGUUGUAUGCCAGUUUGGAUUUAGCAUUUCACAGUCCCCGACACUAAGCUGCCUAGUAAAUCCCCCUCUCGUAAUUCCAAUAACCCUAAGUCAUGGCAACAGUUUCUAGAAGUAGAUCCAUGCAGUGUGGAAGCUCUCUUUAGAAGGUCACAAGCAUACCUAAGAACAUCUGAUCUGGAAAAAGCUGAGGGUGAUAUCAUGCGAGCACUUGCAAUAGAUCCAAACAACAGGUUUUCACCUUGAUUGUCCAUCAACAGCAUAGCUGAUAUUCAGUCUUGUUGAAUCUUUUCUUUGCUUAAUUUGUCUCAUUUUACUCCCAAAUCUGAUUUUGAAUUAACAGAGAAGUGAGGCUCGAUUACCAGGAGCUGAAAGGCAAGAAAAGGCAAUAUAUUCGGCAUGAAGGCUGAAGCUGAAAUUUUUACCAAUAUGCUGUCAAGGAAGGGAUAGUAUCGGCAUACUAAAUAUCGCAACUGAUAUUUGAAGUGAUUUUUUGCCACAAUAAUGUGCUUCACACCACAUAUUGUGGGAAUGAGUAUUAAGAUUUUAUUGAGGUUAGUUGUGACUACUCUCUCAUAUUUCAGACACAAAAGCUAAGAGGUUUCUCUUACUGACACUAGUCUUUGGUAUCUCGAAGACGGCGGUUUCCUGUUAAUUAGCUGGUUGUUGUAGCUUCAUCUCCAGAGCCUUGAGUAAGUAAAAUUUACGAACUAAUGUGACAAAAUGAAUGAUUAGUUAAUCAAUAUUUUUGAACCCUAUUAAACAUAAAGCCAUCUUCAAUGAAUCAAUUACUCGUGAACCUGACGCAUCAAUGUGUGAAAUUUGAAACAUUUAAUAAUCUAAUUUGCAAUCACCCAUAUUUAGAAUAAGACAUAUAUAUAUAUAUAUAUAUAUAUAUAUAUAUAUAUCUUUCAUGGUGAAAACAUUGUUAUGGAGGUAGACAUUGUACAAUAUCUCCAUAAAGCCAUCUUCAAUAAAUCAAUCACUCGUGAACCUGACGACGCAUCAAUGUGUGAAAUUUGAAACAUUUAAUAAUCUAAUUUGCAAUCACCCAUAUUUAGAAUAAGACAUAUAUAUAUAUAUAUAUAUAUAUAUAUAUAUAUAUAUAUCUUUCAUGGUGAAAACAUUGUUAUGGAGGUAGACAUUGUACAAUAUCUCCAUAAAGCCAUCUUCAAUAAAUCAAUCACUCGUGAACCUGACGACGCAUCAAUGUGUGAAAUUUGAAACAUUUAAUAAUCUAAUUUGCAAUCACCCAUAUUUAGAAUAAGACAUAUAUAUAUAUAUAUAUAUAUAUAUAUAUAUAUAUCUUUCAUGGUGAAAACAUUGUUAUGGAGGUAGACAUUGUACAAUAUCUCCAUAAAGCCAUCUUCAAUAAAUCAAUCACUCGUGAACCUGACGACGCAUCAAUGUGUGAAAUUUGAAACAUUUAAUAAUCUAAUUUGCAAUCACCCAUAUUUAGAAUAAGACAUAUAUAUAUAUAUAUAUAUAUAUAUAUAUAUAUAUAUCUUUCAUGGUGAAAACAUUGUUAUGGAGGUAGACAUUGUACAAUAUCUCCAUAAAGCCAUCUUCAAUAAAUCAAUCACUCGUGAACCUGACGACGCAUCAAUGUGUGAAAUUUGAAACAUUUAAUAAUCUAAUUUGCAAUCACCCAUAUUUAGAAUAAGACAUAUAUAUAUAUAUAUAUAUAUAUAUAUAUAUAUAUAUAUAUAUAUAUAUAUAUAUAUCUUUCAUGGUGAUAACAUUGUUAUGGAGGUAGACAUUGUACAAUAUCUCCAUAGAAUAACAGGAAAAACUAGAGACAAACAUCUAAAGCAAAAUCAUUAUUAUAGAUCUCUCGAAAAAUGCUAUUGUAAGUUGUUAGGUAAAAACUUAAGGGCUCCUAUUUUUAUGAUGGACUGAAAUAGGGUUCUCAAAGUAAACUAUUGAUGUUAGACAGGAUGCGGGAAUUGAAUCAAAAAAAAAAAGAAAAAAGAAAAAAAGACAGAUUGCAGGAAUUUAAACCACACUAUUGAAGUUAGAUAAACUGCAGGAAUUUAAAAUACGCGAUUGAUAUUAGAUGGACCGCAGGUUGCAAAAGAUUGGCGAUAUUGCCGGAGCUAAAAUUUUCUUGCCAAAGCAAGUUUUUUUAAAAACUCAAAAAUACCCCUUCGCUUGUAAAUGCUUAAAGAUAACUUCAUAAAGCUUCCCUAAGGUUUCUAACAAUUUUACUAAUUUCCCCUAAGAUUUGCAAAAUUACAUAAACCUCCUCUAAGAUUAAGGUUUUGGUAAUAAAAUUAGUCCAAAUAAGAAAAAAUAAUAUUAAGAAAGUAUUUUAAAGAGAGAGAUGAAACUCUUAUUCCAUAAAUAUCCCUUAUGCAUAUAUAUAAGUUAUAUUAGUGAAAGAAUGAAAUUAAUUAAAAGUUAGAAAAAAUUAACACACAUAUUUCACUAUUCAAAAAGUUCACAUUCAAUACAUUAAAUGAUAAAAAAUAAGCAACAAAACUACACUCAGGGAAAAUUUCAGAAACCUCCCUUGAGGUUUCUAACAAUUUCACUUGGCUUCCCUCAGGUAAAAAAUUACACUUACCUCCCUUGGCAUAGUAAAAUACCUAUAAUGUCCUCCACUUGGUAGACAAUUUUAAAUUUAAGACAAUAAAUUUACAAAAUCCAAAAAAAUUCUAUUUUUGUCUCUUGUCUAUUUUUGCUUCUCUCUUUUCUAAUUAAUAUAACCUCUUUUACUAUCUUCAAUUUUGUGAAUAUUAGCAAAUUGAAAUUUACAAAAGCAACAGAGAGCAGAUUAUGUGUCAAAUUAGAAGGAAAUGAAGAGACUCGCAGUGAUAGAAAAUAAAUAAUGAAAUUGAUGAUUGAAAUAGAAAGAACUAAAGAUGUGAAAAUUGUCAUAUUUUGUUUAUUGUCAAAAUUUUUUUUUAUAAAAUGUCAAUAAUUACAUAUGAAUUUCUUUCAUUGGAUUAGAUUUUUUAUUAUGAAGGUAGAAUUUAUUCUCUACUAUUGAGAUAUUAAUAUUUUUAAAGCCAUGGGAGAGUUGUAAUGAUGGUUUUAGAUGAGAUUAGCUUGUAUUAAAAGGUAUUUGAGUAUUGAUAUUUAAUUUUUGGUACAACUGAUUGUCAAUUGGUUUUGUGUGCAUGUUUUUCUUCUUUUUUUCUUUUAGUGGCAAGUAUUGAUAUCUUUUAUGUAAUUUAGGAUUUUUUGAAAGCCUACUUGAUUUUAGAACUUAUGCUUGGGUGGUUGUUAGGGACUAAACUUAUUAAUUUAUGUAAAGUGUGGAAGAAAAUAAUUAAAUAUACUAUAUUUUUCUUUUUUUAAUUUUGUACAAAAGGGCAAUUUAGGAUUUUUGUGAGAAAAUCUAUUUUGUUGGACCUACAUUGUUACUAAACAUUAAAAGAAGGGGGAUGUAUAUGCAAUUUUUAAAACCUGAGGGGAGCUCUUUAUAAUUGUUAAAAAUCUCAUGAGAGGUUUGUGAAAUUAUCUCCUCCACUAAUAAUCACAAGAUUCAGCAAAACAGACCAGUCAUCUCUCUUAAGAUGAGGUUUGCUAUGAUUUUUGUGAUUUUCAAUAGGAAAAAAUUUCAAAAUUUACCUUUCUUUUAUCUUCUUUCUCCUUUACUUUCACGAAAUUACUUUACAACUAUCACACUUUUAAGAGUUUCACAUAAAAUUUUCUCAUGAACAACCUUCAUUUACCUGGUGUUUUUUCUUCUACCAAAACCAUUCUUCUCACAUUAUGUACAACUGAUUUUUGAUUCUUGUCAAACUCUAUCAAUUACAAAAUAACACCAUUUGGUAUAUCAAUUUGUUCUUCAUUAAAGAAACUUUUAAUAGUUAUUUCCGUUAAUUAGUUACUAAUAAUUAAUUAAUGCUCCAAUUACUCAAUCAUUAGAGGAUAUGUGAGUAAUUUCUCCCCCGUGACAUAAGUAACUAGGUCCACAAUUUUGUCAAGAAAAGUAAGUAUAAUUUUACAAAUUUCUGGAGAGAUGAGCGAAAUUGUCAGAAACUUCAUGGGUGGUAGUCGCGCCAAAAUUUUGGGCCCCGGCCACGACGCCCCAGCCCCACCUUAGCUACCAUCUCAUGUGUCGUUGCAUGCUCCAUCAGUAGUACAUCGGAUCCCAAAUUCCUGCCUCCAUCCAUUUCCUUUCUUGUCUGGAUAUCCCAUAGCUAAUGUUUUCGUAUUACUCUCUCUUCGUCUACUAUUUCUCAUUCUUGCAACCCAAAGGACAUUUUUUUUUGGGGUUCUUUUUGAGAAGUAAAUGCUCCGGAAAAUAAAUGAAAUCUCUUUCACUGUCGGGAAAAAAAAUGUAACUUAAAGAAAUUCGAUUAUCCUGCGACACACGAACUAAACUAGGGAUUUUUGGUCAUGAAUGGAUUGGAUAUAAUUUUUUUAUUCAUCAUCGAUUCAUAACAACAGGUGCUAACCAAAUCAAUCCUAGUGAUUUUGUUGCUCGCGAUCUGGUGUUGGAUUGAAGUUAUUUGCAUCGGAGAGAUUGGAUUGGUCAACUCUCUAUUCUCUGUGGAGCUUAAAUUUUGGGAUUGGCAAAAGCACCAGAAUAUCACCUUAAAAAAAAAAGCUCCAGAAAAUCUGAAUUUUGUUUUUUUCCCCACAAUUUUGGGUACAAAUCAACUUUUGAGAGUGUCAUAUAAGUUGGAUACUCAAAAGUGGAGACCAAUGGAGGGCACUUUCGGAUUUUUAAAUAAAUUUGCUUGGGUUGGAAAAUUUUAGCUCUGCAAUAUCACAAACCUAUAAUCUGUUGCAUAGUUAUUUUUCCAACACAUCGAUUAUAGUAUUCCAAGGCCAUCCUUGUCAAAUUUCCAUCGAAAACUUAAGGGUAAAAAACAAAAAAAUGCCCUGUGAUAAAUCUAAUAUACAAAAAAACUCCUCGUAGUUUCAAAAUAUACAAUACAGCACUCCAUACUUUGAAUUAAAUUGUAAAGGUAAUAGAAUCCGUUAAACUUAACGGAAAUGGACGAAAUGACCAAAAUACCUUGAUAUAAUUAAGCAAAAGACAGCUCAAAAAAAUCAUUUGUUUUAUUCUCUAGAUAGAUAGAAUUGAGGGUUAAGGGAUAGAAUAGGUAUAUUUGUUAAAAAUUAGGUAUAAUAACUUUUUUUAGGUUCCAAUAAGUCAUUUCCGUUAAGUUUAACGGGUUCUAUCACUUUUACAAUUUAAUUUAAAGUACGGGGUGUCGUGUUGUAUAUUUGAAACCACGGAAGGUUUUUUCUGUGUAUUAGGUUCACCACAUGGGGUUUUUUUGCAUUUUAUCUAAAACUUAAUCAACUACACAAUUUAUCAAAUUUUAAUGAAAAGUAUUAAUCGCACUCCACUUUUUAUUAGUCACACUCUCAUCAUUCAUUUUAUCAUAUAGUAUAAUAAAUAAAAACUAUAUGAUAAAUACGAUAGUGAGAGUGUAAUUAACAAAGGGAGUGCAAUCAAUAUUUUUCCAUUUUAAUUUAUCAUAAUAAAAAAAAAAUUUUGGAGUGUAACACGAGGAUUUCUCGGGGUGUCAUUCAUUAUAGUACUACAUUGCUACCACCCAAGCAAAAAAAAGUUCAAAUUUACACAACAUUUCCAAAAUUAUCUCAAAAAGACUAUACUUAACAUUUAGAUCUAUAGUCUAUAAAAGACAUAGAACUAGGGUUGCAAUCGACUCAAUUAGCUCGCGAGCAGUUCGACUUGAGUUCAGUCAAUACCGAGCUCGAUCCGAGUAUUAAUAUAUAUGAGUCGACUUCGAGUAGCCAUUUGUUAGGUUCGAUUACUCGACGAGCAGCUUGAAAAAUUCGAGUUAAUGUGAAAUUACAAAAAUACCCCUUCAUCAAUUAAAAUCGAACUACCUUCUAGCUUCUCACGAACUAGAAUAUCGAGUGAAACUCGAGCUGACAUAUCUAGUUGCUCAAGAGCCAGAAACAAAUUGAGCUUGAACUUUCUUUUUUCUAAGUCGAGUCGAGUUCGAACUUCAUUUUUUUGACUCGACGAGCUCGAGUGUGAACUCAAACUCACACAUUAACAAGUCUAACUCAACUCAAUAUGUUUAAAACUCGAUUUGAUUUAACUCGUUUGCAACUCUAGUUACAUAGAUUGACUUCAAUUUUCAACUGGUUUUUCAAAUUUCAAGUUAGUCCAAGUUAACUUGGUGCAAAUCUAAGAGUUAGAAAGUGAUCAUCCCAAGAAAAUCCAAUAAUCAGGUUUCACUUCAUCAGGGCCUAAUCUCCCUUUUGACGUCUUGUCUUCAAUAAUGGAACACCGCAAUGUCAUCCACUAAACUAACCUAGCACAAUUAAACGCACUUAUCAAGUUAAGUUUUAAGACAAGAUUUGGACCAAUAGUCAAAUACAAAACAGGCACUAGUGUAAAACUCUAAAAUUAUCCCCCACUUCGUUAAUUGUAUACAGCUUUCACGAAAAUAUAUUUACCCCUUCGCCAAGAAAAACGACAUCAAACCCAUUUCUUAUUAUAGAAAAGAUCUGUUAUGAUUACCCCUUGUUAUGAUUACCCUUGUCAUGUUUACCCCUUGUUAUGAUUACCUUUUUCUCAUGAGUAUUUAUUUAAGAAAAACUCGCUCAAAAUGUUUCUCACAUUUUGUCAAAUAAAAUUUUUCAUUCUUUACUUUUAAAAUAAUAGUUUUACAUCUUUUACAAAUUUAAGUCAACAAAAUUUGGCUCCAACCUAGAUUUUUCUGAACAUUUUUUCAUUUGAAAUCAUCACAUGACUCACAUGUGAUCAUUUUAAAGUACAAAAGGCCGGAUUCCACUUAUUUAAGGGCUGAAAUAAAUAUGGAACAAGUCAGAUCUUACUUGUUUAGGAGAAAAAUGAAUAUAGUUUAGAUCAUAUCCCACAUUUUUAAAGAUAAAAUGAAUAUGGAUCAAAACAUUUGUUUUUACAGUAAAUGGUAUCUAUUUUUUUGCUCCUAAAAAAAUGAUUAUGUGUGAGUUACGUAACAGAUUCAGGUAAAAAGUAGUCGAAAACUUAGGUUGAGACUAUAUUUUGCUGAAUUAAAUUUGUAAGGGAUGUAAAAUUAAUAUUUUAAAGUUAAAUGAUGAAAAAAUUUAUUUGGUAAAAUGUAAGGAAUGUUUUGCAUGAUUUUCUUUUCAUUUUCUUUUUAUUUAAUUGCUUUUUGAUUAUUUUAGAUUUUCUACCUCUUAUUUCACUAUAUAUAUAUAUAUAUAUAUUGUAGAAAGGAUUUUAGGAUGGUUAAAUCAUAAUGCUUCUAACUCCUCAUUCUUUGUUUUAUAUACAAUUUUGGAUUUUUUAAUUAUUAUAUAUCCUUUUCAAGCCAUUUGAAUUUAAAAAGUAAAAAGUGGCUCCAUUCCACUUAUAUAGGAAUUUGAUUCGAAAUCUAUUAAUGUGAGGAUAAAUAAAGAGAAAACAUCACCAAACCGACUAAAAGUGAAAAGUAAAUAAUAAUAUUUUACCCUUUAACUUAGUAAUCUUAACUAAAAGGGCAAAUUAUAUAGAAAACAAAAAAAAUAAUAUUCAUUGGUCAUGGAUUUAAAAAAUCAAGAAUGGUACCAUUCAUGAACCCUAAAUUAUGAAAUCACUAAAUAAAAAACAAAGUACUACUAGCCAUUCAACAUGAAAAUUUUUAUUUGAAAUCUUUAUUUUUGAUGAAAAAUAAUAAUAAAAACAACAUCGAUUAUACCAAAAAAAUUAAAAACAUAACAAUGUAGUUUAAAGAUAUAAAACUUUUGACUCUAAACUAUAUAUCUAUUUAAUUUAUGUAUAUAUAUAUAAUCCAAUUCGACCCUAAUUAAACUUGAAUAAGAGUGCAAAACCAAAAGCUAAGAAUAGCUUGGGUAUUAUUGAUUAUUUUGCAUAUUCUUAUUAUUUUCUUCAUAUGCAAAUCUGUAAUUGCUAUGUCAUUUUUAUAUUUUUUGUAGUAGUUUAUAAUAAUUCUGAAAACUCUAAAAACACAUCUUACAAAGAUUUUUUUUUUAUAAAUCUAUAUUAAAGUUUAUGAAGAACAGUACUCUAUAAGCACUCAACAAUUUUAGGGUUACAAGAUGGGAGAAACAAAUUUUCUAAAAUUGAGGAAAAUGAAAUAGUUAUAAUUUAUAUUUUUAAUACUAAUAAUUUUGAUAUAUGGGUAUAACAUGAUAUAUUGAUAAAUAGGUCUACAAUUGUUCUACUAUAUAAAUCAUUAUAAAUUAAAUUAUUUUAUUCAAAUUAUUGUAAUGUAUUGACAAACAAUAGGUAAAGAAAUUUUGAUUUCAACUUAUUUAAGAUAUUAAAACUAAGAAAGUUUAUUUUGUGCUUAUGAAAUAAAAUUUUUUUAACAUGUUAGGCAUAUACUUCUUUAAAUUUUUUUUGCCUUUUUCAUAUACUUUAUCCUAUAUUAUAAUAUAUAAGUAUAUAUAUUAUUGUUUUGAAUUAAAAUAUAAAUACCCUAUACUAUCAUACUCCCUCCGUCCCACUUUGAUAGUCCUGUUUUCCUUUUUCGUCUGUCCCAAAUUAUAGUCCACUUUCCAAUUGAAGAAUGUAGUUGUAUUUUAAUUUUCCUAAAAUACCCUUAUUUAAUGUAAGUUGUUGUUACUAUAAACCUACCCCAUUUAAUGAGAAUUGAUUCUUUUUUUACCAUCAAUUCAAGUUCCCAUAAAAUUGUACUCUAUUUAAUGUGAGGGUAUUUUAGGAAAAUAGCAAUCUAAAUUUACUUUUCCAACAAAAUUAACUACUUUUUCUUAAACUAUGUGAAAAAAGAAAUAGGACUAUCAAAGUGGGACGGAGGGAGUAUAUAAUUAUAUAUAAAAUAUUAUUUUGAAUUGAAUUGGGUUAGAAUGAUAGUUAUAUCUCUAUUUGCCGACAAUCUAUUCUUGGAUAAUUCAAUCAUUAUAUUCGGAAAACUCGUCGUGUAAGAUUUUGUACUCAAUCCCUACCGCGAAGCCAAACCCAAAAGCGACUGCUAAAGAUGGUGCUGUUUAUUUUCUUCUCCCACAACUGGCGAGCACGAGAGCAACCGGUGUAGACUUUAUUGGUUCACGUGGCUCAGUCACGGGCUCAACAGGAACUAAACGUUAAAUUUUUUUAAUUUCCUCUAGCCUUUAUCGUCCUCGAAAAGUUUGAAUUUCGAGGCACUAAGGCGUGGACAACCCCACCAGUUUUGGAACAUACUGAAGCGAGGGCAUGCAGCCCACAAUCAUUUGGGGUAUAGUAAGUCAAUGAUUCGUGACAUAUUCUUCUGUGGCACUUUCGACCAGUGGUGAAUUAUCCAUCGAGUUUUAUUGGAAUUGUAUUUUUCUGUUUUUUUAUUUAUAUUAAUUAUUAUUAUCUACAUUUGCUCUACUUCUACUUCUAUUUUAACCUAUUUUGAAUAGUGACCCAAUAGGGCCAUGAGAAAUCAAUGUGAAUUGAACCACUAUCGGAUCAUACUUAUAUGGAUUUAAAAGAAAUCACAUUAAGUAGUAAAGUAAGUUUUGAACCCUUGACCUCCCAACCACAAGACAUACAGUAGCUAACUAUUAUGGAGGUGGCUAUUAUGGAGGUGGUUGAUUUAGAAUUGUAUUUUUCUUAGUUGUUUGCUUUUUCAUGUUGACGGUGCUCGGGUAUGCAAUUGUCAUGUGAAUUCCACCGUGCAAAUUAUAUGCAUUAAUAGUAUAAAUUUAGGUGCUAAUAAAUGUAAAAACCAAAACAGAUUAAGUAUAUUAUUACUUAUUAAAAAUUGUGUUUCGCAAUUAGUUUUAUCCAUCCAAUUUUGAAUUAAUUCCAUCUAAAUCAUUAACUGUACAGUGUAGUUGUUCCUAUUUUACUUAAGUCAGGCGUAUUUAUAUUUUUUAAAUUAAAAUAUCUCACUUUAAAAUUCAGCAAUGAACGUGAAAAUUCGAGUAUCGUUAAAAAAAAUGUAAAGUGAAAUUUACCCUGUUUGUAUUAUUCUUAGUUAGAUUGGUAGGUUAUCUAAGACCUAACAUUCUAUUUUGCCAAACCGUAAGGUGCAAUAAGUCAAAAGUUGUAUAUGAAUGAUACUCAGGGGCGGAUUUAAGGUGGGGGCACUGGGGGCAUGGGCCCCCACUGCCUCCCCUCAAAUUUGUAUAAUAGUUAUACAAUUUUGAUAUAAUUGUAAAGGUGUCAUUAAAGUUUUUUUUAGAACAAAUGUGAAAAAUAGGUCACAAAAUUUAUAUCAUUCAUUUUUCUCCCUUGGUCUCCCAUUUUUUCUCCAACAGAAUCAAAUACCAAUUAUAUCAGUCUUUUCUUUUGGUCCCCACUCCCCAAUUCCCUUUCCUCCUCCGGUCCGCAUUUUCCCUUCACAACCGACGGCUCUUCUUUCUUCCUCCAUUUGUACUUGUUGGUGAAUUUAUUAUUUUUUUACUUAAAAAAUUAGAAAAAGAGUAGAUAAAAAAUUUUGGUGUUAUUUUUACCCCCACUAAAAUUUUUUUCUGGCUCCGCCCCUGAUGAUACUCUAUCAACCAUUCUAAAUGCUAAGGAUCUAAGUUACGAGCCAAAAGGCGAAGGAUGUAAGGUCAUGAUUAAAAACUAGCGACACUAUACAAAUUAUAUUUGACUACAUUUUUUUUAUUAGUAUCGUAUCUCGCUUUUGCUCGCCUUUGUUUAACACUUGUACUCCAUGAAGCCAUUAAAUUUGUUGAGAUAUGCCAACUUUAGCAUAUGUUUUUAGAUUCAUUUAGUACUAGAAUAAUUUAGUUAGCUAUUGAAUAAAUUUAGUUGUUAGGAUAUGUAACAAAUAUUUUUGCUAAGAUUUAAAUUAUGUUUUGUUGAGAUUUUUUAGGAUAAUUGUUAGUUGAAAAUUAUGUUAGUUUAUUUCAUUUAAAUACUAUAAAUAGUGAGUUGAUGAAUGAAAAAUAUAAGGUUAUUUUCAGUUUUCAAUACAAGUCUUUUGUAUGCCUUUUUUUUUACAAUAUUAAUUAAGGUAUUGUUUCUUAGUUUAUGUCCUAAAAAUCAACAAAGUAGGUUCAAGAGUAUAUUUUAAGGGUCUGUAUUGUUUUUUGAGAGUGAAUGCAUUCACUGAGAAUCCUUUAUCAGUUCAAAACCAUGAUAGAAAAGAACUUUUUAUCAAAUAUUUCAACUUUUGGUGGUAAAGCUUAUCAAAUUUGGGUAGUUAAAUUUUGGAUUUAUUGGGUAGUUAAUGAUCUAUGGGAUGUGGUGGAAAUAGAUCAUGUUCUAGAACUAUUUAAAGAACCAAUUGAUACACAAAUUAGAAACCAUAGAGUUAUAGUUAGACAAAAAUCCAAGUAUAGUAUUCACAUAUCAUUUUUUGAUGCCGUUUUCACAAAGAAAAUGACUUUUGAUUUGAUUAAGAAUAAACUAUUCUCAAUUAAAAUGAAAGGAAAAAGUUUCCCUAUGAAUUGGUCGGAUCUUGACAUUUCUAAAGUGGAGCAUGAUGAAAUCAAGAAUUCAUAUCUUGAAAGAAUUCAAGAGGAGAUCAUUGAUAAGUUAAGAGGUAUUAAAUUGAUUGCUGAUAUUUUUCAAGAGUAUAAUGUCUCUGUUUUUGGGUCUACAGGUUUUGACGAUGAUGAAAAAAAUUUAUGAAGAACUAUGAAGAGUUUCAUAUUUUCUGUACUGGUCCAAAUAUCGUUGAAAGGUGUUCUACUUGAACCUAUGAAAAAGGUUAUCUAGAUAUAUAUAUAUAUAUAUAUAUAUAUAUAUAUAUAUAUAUAUAUAUAAGCCAUCUUGUAUUUGGAGUUUGGCAUAAGACGCAAAAAGAAGUGGUUUGUUACAAGAUUAAUCUUUAGCUUGUAAAAAAAAAUCAAAAGAAGUUUGUUGUAUAUAUAUAAAAGCCAUCUUGUAUUUGGAGUUUGGCAUAAGACGCAAAAAGAAGUGGUUUGUUACAAGAUUAAUCUUUAGCUUGUAAAAAAAAAUCAAAAGAAGUUUGUUGCAAGGAUAAUCAUGAGUUGCAAAACUUCUUGUAAAAGGACUUGUCUAUAAUGGGGCUUAAACAUUUAAGAAGAGAAUUAGGGAUGUGCAGCAAAAUUGGCAAGGAUAAAUGUUGAAAUAUGCCAACUUUUGCAAGUUUUUCUAAAUUCAUUUAGUACUAGAAUAAUUUAAUUAGUUAUUAAAUAAAUUUAGUUGUUAGGAUAUUUUUUUAAACAAAUAUUUAUGCUAAGAUUUAGAUUAUAUUUUGUUGAGACUCUUUAGGAUAAUUGUUAGCUAGAAAUUAUAUUACACCUUGUUUGGAUUGUGAUUUUUUGCAAAAAAAAAUUUUAUGUUUUCCGUAAAUACACUUUUUAAUUACCUUUUUACCUCACAUACAUCAAAUCGUUACAAUUCAUUUUUUCUACAAAAACUCCUAAAAACAUUACAAAUAGUGUGUUGAUAAAUGAAGAACAUAAGGUUAUUUUCAACCUUCAAUACAAGUUUUUUGUAAGCUUUUUUUUUGCAACAUUAAUUAAGAUUUUUUUAUUAGUUUAUACCCUAAAAACCAACAAAAUUAAUAUAAAAGGACGAGUGCCGCUCUAAAACAUGGAUAAUAUGAGUGUGAUGCUAAUAAGUCUAAGAAAGGACCCAAAACCUUAUGAGUGUAAUAAACGAUCCAAAACGUUACACUCCUUUUUUUUUCUUUUUUUUUUUUGCAAAGAACCUUACACUUCUGUUAUGCAUCCUUUUUUCUUUUAGUAUUACAUUCCAUGUUAAUCAUAGUGAUACUUUGUUAGGUGCAUGAAAACACGUGACUGUAUGGCAUGGAGUGUCAUUUAAAAAAAAAAAAAAAGUGUAUCAAAACCAGAGCUCUGUGGUUUUCUCUCUCCAUUUUGCAGCCUUGAUAUGUAUAAGAAGCCGUUUUCAUCUUUGAAAUGAAAAUAGGUAAGCAAAGCUUUUCUAUCCCACUCGAGUGAGAAGAUUUCUAGCAUUAUGGGGAACCAUAAUUUUGCUAGAUGGUUUGUCCUUCUCCUCCACUUAGGAACUCUUCUAUCUUCUGUAGCAUGUCCUUAUUGCCCAUACCCAACCCCUCCACACAAACCACCACACAAGCCAAAGCCUCCGGCUGUAAAACCACCUUAUACACCAAAGCCUCCUGCUGUGAAACCACCACACAAGCCAAAGCCUCCGGCUGUAAAACCACCAUAUACACCAAAGCCUCCUGCUGUGAAACCACCACAUAAACCAAAACCUCCCAUUGUAAAACCUCCAAUAAUAGUGCAUCCUCCAUAUAUCCCAAAACCUCCCUUUGUGCACCCACCUUUCAGACCAAAGCCACCAAUUAUCAUACCACCACACCCUCCCAUUGUUAAACCACCACCCUUCAUUCCUAAGCCACCAGUUGUGCUGCCACCUUAUGUACCAAAGCCACCUAUUGUUAAACCACCGCCCUAUGUGCCAAAGCCACCUGUGGUGUUGCCACCUUAUAUACCAAAGCCACCUAUUGUUAAACCACCACCCUAUGUGCCCAAGCCGCCUAUUGUUAAACCACCACCUUACGUGCCAAAGCCACCUGUGGUGUUGCCACCCUAUGUGCCAAAGCCACCUAUUGUUGAACCACCACCCUAUGUGCCAAAGCCACCCGUCAUUUCCCCACCAUUUGUGCCAAAGCCACCUGUGGUGUCGCCACCUUAUGUACCAAAGCCGCCAGUUGUUGUAACUCCACCACCAUAUGUGCCAAAGCCACCUGUGGUUUCACCACCAUUUGUGCCAAAGCCACCUGUGGUGUCGCCACCAUAUGUACCAAAGCCACCUGUUGUUGUUACUCCACCACCAUAUGUGCCAAAGCCACCACCAACUCCCCAACCAACCCCUUGCCCACCACCCCCACCGACUCCCGUGCCAUGUCCACCGCCACCAAAGAAACCGGAGAUUUGCCCAAUUGAUACCCUCAAACUAGGUGCUUGUGUGGACUUGUU
rnacentral:lncRNA from 1 species